UCAACGCAGGUGUAUCGACUCACCGAUCGGGUUCAGAGGCAGUGGCCGAGAUGAUCAUGGUACCUAAAAUAGUCGAUGGGUUAAACCAUGUGGGUAUGGCCGAAUUGAUCCUAACGGGUGCAUGGUAUAUCUGGUGGGAACGCAGGAAGUUUGUACAUGGAGAGUCUGUCCAAAAUCCGACAAGAGCGAGUAUGGCAAUAGCAACAUUGACAGCAAAUUAUCAGAGAUCAAUGAACAAGAAGAGUAAGAAAGCAGAUGGAUGGAAAAAGCCCCCAGAGGGCAGGAUAUUGCUGAAUGUUGAUGCAAGUUACAAAGCUGAAUCGAGCACAGGCAGCACAGGCGCAAUCAUUAGAGAUUCAACGGGAAAUUUUAUGGGAGCCAGGGUCUGUUACUUUGAAAAUAUUGUAGAUGCUGCUAUGGCAGAGGUGACAGCUCUUAAGGAAGGCCUGGUGUUGGCGCAAUUGUUGGGAUGCAAUCGAAUUAUGAUUCAGUCAGAUUGUGUGGAGGUAGUUGAGACGAUGAAACAAGACGGCAUCUCAGCGACAGCUAGUGCUCCGAUUUAUGAUGAGUGUUUCAUACUAUGGCAAGAUUUUGUUUCUAUUUGCAUCGAUCAUUGUAAUCGGGAGGCGAACUGUGCAGCACAUGAGUUAGCUAGAGAAGCAAUGAAAAGCAAAUUAUCUUGUAACUGGGUCGAUGAACCCCCUAGUUUCAUUCUAGGAGCUUUGGCGAACGAUGUAACUAUUAUUCAAUAUCAAUAAAGGGCGCCAAAUGGCAUCAAAAAAAAAAAUCUAGAGUAUGAAAAUGUCACCUGGAAAAUGUAAAUUGCAGUCGACAACACGUAAGCCAUCUUCUAACGGUUUCGAUUUAAACGGUCUUUUUCUUUUUUUGUAAUAACGAAUAAGUUUUAUGGGUUGGGUUUGUGUGGUGACGGGUUGGAUACUUGGAUUUCUAUGUUGAUUGGGUAAAAAAAAUGUAUUUUUCGUUUCUUAGUAAUGCAAAAGUGUGACAUUCAUUCCUCAUGUUUCAUUUGAUGCAAAUCAUUCUCUUAAUUAAAUCGGUGCUUUUAUCAUUCCUACUUUAGUUUAACAAUAGUUUAGUAUCAUAUAAUAUAGAUUUUGAUCAUCUCUAAAUCACUUUUUUAGCAGCUCCAGGGCCCGUUCGGCAAGUCGAACAUAACUUGUGUUCGAUAGCUGCUGUGUGAACAUUGAUUGGUGGGAUCUACGUAUCUCUACCUAAUAUUAAAAUGCAGUUGUUUCUUCCAACCAUCGUGGUUGUUUUGAAAAAAAAUCCCUCAACUUUUUCGUACUCAACCCGCGGUUCUUGGAAGAGUUCUUGACGAUGGAAGGCUGGAACUCUCCCGUCGUGGUUGGCCAGGACUCAUAGGCAGCAGAAACAAUAGGGAGGCCACCCUCCGCCGCCCACUCACCUUGCCCCAUGCAUGCUGCUUAUUAUUGCUGCUCCCCUCUAUGUCCAUCUGCUUCAGCCAUGAGCCCAUGGUGCAUUGAUCCUCAACGUGGUGCAGCGAGGGAAAACGACUACAGGAGUAGCUCGUGAGGCUACACGUCAUGCUUGAGCUCACCCUCAAGGCCCUUGCAUGGACAUGCUGCACUAGCAACCACAAGAAGACUUGGAGACGAGUAGUUGAGAGAGGGAAUGAGAGAGAUGCAGGUGGAGCCAAUGCUUGGCAUGGGUGCUCUGCAGUGCAGCUGCCAUUUGCCUAUUUGAAUGAUGAAGGAGCACAGAAGAAAUUAAGAGAGAGGUAGGGAUGGUGCUUGGUACGAUCGCCUCUUAGAUGUGCUUCGUGUUUUGGGCAAAAAAAAAUUUAAACUGUGAAGUAAAUUUAACUAUAAAAAUUAGAUACAAAUGAAUAAGAAGAGAAUUAAAUAGCAAUAAAACUAAUCCAAAGAAUAAAAAAAAAUUGUAGUUCAAGGAUCUUUCCAUAGAUAAAAAGUUAGGAACUGAAGGAUUUUUUAGAACACUCGAACUUAAUGUGCGAAUAAUUAAGAAUUUGAGCGAGAGCUCUAUAUUGAAUCUUUUUGAAAAUUAGAUGCCAAAAGAGAUGGACCAUAUCCUCCACGGUGAAGUGAUGCCACUCUUGAUUGAAGCACCUACAAAACGCUCCUUGAUGCAGCUCAUGUGGACGGCUGAGUAAGGUGAAAGUCGAGUGAGCAAAAGUGGUGGCAAGGUCAUGACAAUCAACGAUAGCAAUUGUGUUUAGCCAAUGACGGUGACUUUACGCUCAACAAAUGACAACUGAAUAUCAUCAAAAUAAGACAACUUGUGAAUAGCAACAGUUGGAUGCUAGAUUUUUUUUCCCUACGUUGCAACGCACGGUCAUAUUUGUAAAAUAGGGCCUGUUUGGCAGAGCUCCACGCAGCUCCAGAUCCUCAAAAACAAUAGCUCCACCACAGAGCAGCUCCAGCGUGGAUCUAUGCUCUCACCGUGGAGCUGAGGAAAAGUGUUUGGCUGAGACAACAGCUCCAGAUCCAGAAACAGAGUUUUUGGUUGGAUUGUCCACUAAUGCCCUUGGUGUUUUUCCAAUUUUUUUCUCAUUUUUUUCUCUUCACGUGGUGUUUUCCCAGAAAUAGAGAUUUUCGCUGUACGUGGUGUUUUCUCAAUACAACUUUGUUCCAAGCAACAUAAUUUAACCAUUGUUGUCAUAUGACAUAAAAUUAACCUUGUUCAUACAUAAAUUAAUUUUUCAUACAUAGAAAAUUAAUUGCUCAAGGCAUCGGAGGAUCGUGAGCCGUCACCCUCUACUUCAUGAUCACGAAGAAGCUUCAGGCUGCUGCUGAACCCAAGAAUGGUAGUCUCUCAGCAGCUGCUCCCCCAGCAUGGGAACAAGCUUGUCCAACAGGCCUUGCAUCAACCUGCAAUAAAAUUUAGUGCAAAUGUCAAAUCAAAGGAUCACUAGUAACUGUGAAAAUUGAUCUCCUCACAGUAACAUUAGCCAGCAUAAUAUGAGAUGUAUUAUGCUGUCUACUCGGUAAAGCGUCUAGACAGAGUCUUUCAGAGACAAUUUUUAUUAAGAUAAGAUUCGGGUGGGAACUGGUGCUCACUUUCAGAGUUUGUUCUUUGUGAACUUUUAUUUAAGAAUCUGAAGAAUGUUGCAAAGGCCUACGUACAGGUUGCCUGGUUUCUCCACUGCUGACAAUGGAAGCAUGCUGAACGGCUUAGUGUAGACCUGUCAAUUUAUAAUCAACAGAUGAGCUUUUACCUUUCUUUGAAGUUGAUAAAGAAUAUAAGAAAUUUUACAAAAGAAUUUGCUCGUAUAUAGAUGUUAUAUGCUACACAAUUUGCUGAAGUACUGAAUGCAGUAAGCACAUCAUACAGAAUGCUCCAAGAACUGUGAACUAGAUCUGGAAUGGUUGAUGCACAUCUGAAGAAUGCUCUCAAAAUGCACCUCAGGGGGUGUCAAUUUGCUCCAAGUUAUACGGUUACUCAUAAAUGCUGCAAGAAUUCAGUAGAUUCGGAAACUCAAAAUGAUGGUUGAAGAACAGACACAUCAUACAUUUUGCAGGAUAGCUAACCGAUGGCAUUGUUUCGCAGUUGCACGACAGCAUCUCGAUGGUGCAGUCAGUGCUCGUCGGGGCGACGCGGAGGUCGAGCACCGGCGCGACCUCAAAGCCCAGGAACCCGAUGUGGCGGAGCGCGCACGUGAAGGUUCCGCAGCCGGACCCCGCCGACGCGAAGCUCUCUAGCGCGCGGUGUUGAGUAGGGACUCCACGCCGUCGGGGUGCCGCAGGAACUCGCCGACGUCGCCGCUGGAGACGCCGUCUGGGAGCUGCACGUGCUCCCGCCGCCUCGCCGACAGCUGCGCCCGCCGUCCUCGCGCCCUUCUCGGCGCGACCUGGCCCGCCCUGGCAUCGUCCUCACCACCGCCGCAGGGAGAAGGAAGCGUCGCGCAGGGAAGAAAAACGGAGGUGGCGGCGGAAAGAAAAGAAAACAAUGCGAACCGGUACGAGGGGUGUGUAAUCGAUGAUACAGGUGGGUAAUUUCCAUCAACUCCACAAGGAAUUACAAAAUUAGCAUUUUGAGAGCACCCCCUAAGGUGCUUCGUGGAUUUGGUGGAUCUAGGAGCUAGAUUUGGGUUUUUUGCGGAUCUGAAUUUUACGGAGCUGGACUGUUUGGUUGGAAAAACUAGGAGCGGAGCUGUUUUGAGGAUCUAGAGCUGCGUGAAGCUCUACCAAACAGGCCUAAAAAACCGCUUUUGCGUCUGCUUUCUCUCGCUAGAACUGACGUAGUGGCAGUUGCGCUGCUCCCGCCGCAUCUGCCGUGUUGCUGAUUUUUUAAUGCGCCUCGCGUCGAACCGAGUUUCGUGGUCGAUUUUCAAGUCUCACAACGAAAUGUCCUAUCAUUAUGUGUAUGGUUCGAUUUGAACUGCUCACUGUUCUUCAUUAAAAAAAAACUGCUCACUGUUCGAUUUUUUCACGCACUGGAGCUUGCCUUAGCCACGUUUUAUGUCAAAAUAGGUGUAGGUGUGAGUCGGUUCCGUUAAUUUUCUAAUUUUUUUUUAUGGAUAGCUAUUUUAGAGGAUUUACAAUUUUUUAUAAAUUAUAUAUUUUUUAUCUUAUUACAUCGCUAAAUGGUAAUUAGAUAGAUAAUUAUGUGGCAUAAAUCACUAUUAGAUAGCACUGAAUCAUUGUUAUUGUUAAGUCGAGGUGGGGAUGAUUAGUGCACUGAUAUUUAGUUAUGGGAUCGUCGCACCAAUUAAAAUAUGAGGGACGAAUGCCACACUUUCAUAAGAAAAGUGAGAAAAUUUCUUAUUUGGCUCUAGUAAAGAUGAUGUUUCCUUAUUUGACCCUGAAAAUUUUGAACUUCCUUAUCUGACACUGAGUUGAACUUUCGUUCCGUAUUUGACACUGCCGUCUAUUCCGUUAGUUAACUCGCAUGAACAGUAACUUAUAAAUUCUUCCUCCCUAUUUUCUUGACCAAAAUGCUAUCCAAAUCAAUAGAUGGAGAUGAACCAAGUUUGCAUAAAAACAAAUAUAUACCAUUUAACAUCUUAAAACUAAAAUUCACCAAAUUAUGCUACUUUAAAAGAUUAUCUAAAUUUUUUGAGCACAAAAGCUUUCAAAAAAUGUCUAAUAUUUUUAUUGUGGGAUGAGGUGAGUUAUAAAUUAUUACCUAUCAUAAGUGACACGAAGACAUUUGUAUUUAUUAACAAAAAAGUACUUUUUAUUACAAACUUGAAAUGUCUCUUUGUCACGUAUGAUAUAUAAUAAUUUUAUAAAUUACUUCAUCCCACAAUCCAAAUAUUAGUUAUUUUUAAAUAAUCUUUGGAAAGUUUUUUAUACCCUAAGAAUUCAGAUAAUCAUUAAAAAGAUCAAAUUUGGUGAAUUUUAGUUUUAAGGUUUAUUAAGUGCUACAUAUUUGUUCUUAUGCAAAAUGGGGUCUUCUCCAUCUAUUGUAUCACUAUUAAAAGUUUCAUGAAGUUUAGAAAUGAUUUGGAUGUUGUUUUGGUCAAUAAAAGAGGGAGAGAGAAUCAUGGGUUACUGUUUACCGUAGUUAACUGACGGAAUAGACAACAAUGUCAAAUAAGUAACGAAAUUUCAACCCAGACAAUGUCAAAUAAGUAACGAAAGUUCAACCUAGUAUUUCUUAUAGUGUUAGAUAAGAAAGUUCAAAUUUUUCAACGUCAAAUAAGAAAGUCUUAUUUUUACUAGGACCAAAUAAGAAAUUUUCUCAGGAAAAUACACUUUUUCAAAAAAAAAAAGGCGGACACUUUAAUGGCCUGUUGGUUCACCAAAACACUACCACCACGACAAAAAGGGGUCCAUGACUAUCAUCUCCUUCCAGAAUUGCAUUAUCUUGCGUGUAUAGGCUUACCAACUAGCGGAGUAGCAUCUAGCCUGUGUUAAAUCAUCUGGAAAACUUUUAGGGCCCGUUUGUUUCGUAGGAAUUGAAACUCAUUCCAAGAAAUACAUUCUAGAUAUUGGAUUCCACCGGAAAUGAAUUACUCAGAAUUUGAUUCAAUUCAAUUUUUUUGUUUGGGUGUUGAUGAAAUUCUUUUCCAUGAAUCUAAUUCCAUAUUCCGUUUGGAUAGCUAAAUAUGGAAUUAAUUCCAUAUUCCGUUGGGAUAGCCCAGUUUGUCACAGACAACCGCAUCACAGAUAUUGGAUUCCAUAUUCAUGUUUGCCCAGUUUGUCACAGACAACCGCAUCACAGAGGAAUACCAGUUUUCUCUACUGGUAUGAACAAAGAAGAUCAGAGAAAGAUAACAUGAGGUCCAGUAGCAGCAAACAAGGUUCAGUAGCAGCAAAGUCUAAACAAAGUCAUACAUUAUGAUCAUACACACUCAAAAUGACAUGACUAAUGAGCAUAGUGAUGGUAAUCAGCAUCUAAGCAUGCAUCACUUUUUGAGUUGCUUUAAGAGCCACCUUUUCCUCAUCCCCACUGGAAGUGCCAACAAAGACUCAUACUUGCGUGCAUCACCGGUCAGGAUAUCAAAUAGGUCCAACAAAGUGUCUUCAUCCAAUCCUUGUACUUCAUUCAGUGUGUCUAGAAUUUCUUUUGAUGUUGGUCCUUUAGGGGCUUCCUCCUUUAGUGCUUCAGCGAACUUGUCCAUUUUUUCAGCUAUCAUAGAGGUAAAAGAGUCACCUGACCGUUGCCUCUUUAAACUUCCUGAAGUUGCCGAUGAUGUGGGCUCUUUGUUACUAAGAUCUUCCUUACUCAUGUCUUUUGAGCUCUCAGCUGUAGUCCUUGCCGCUUCACCGGUAGCAUGGUCUUUGCCAAACACCAAGCUGAUUGAGUCCCAGUACAAGACAGUCUUGUGCCUAUACCCAGAAGCUUCUUUGUUUUUCUACAAAAAACAAAUGGUUAACACAUGUAUAUCCAACCUAAACUCUGUUUUAUACUGCAGAGAUAACACUGCAUAGAUAAUGAUGAUAUUUUGUAAAGCAAGUAUAUCUUCUGACUAAAAUUGUAGGAGGACAACUACAAUCCAAUGGUUAUGUUAAAGACCCAAAUAAUCCCCUCCACUAUUAUGACUAAAGAAGGUUCAGGAGUGCCAUUUGCACUGACACAUCCAACUUCAAGCCACAUGGAAUAACAAUGAACAUAUAAACAUAUGUUGCUUAAAAAGAACAGAAUAAAAUUGAAUGUGCAUUCUAUAGCACGGAAUACCCUUUGACAUUUUGCUAACUGUUAGACAUUUUGACUAACUAUGCUAGCUAUGGGCAAUAUAAUGAAUAACCACUUUUCACAUGGCAAUCAUGCAAACAAAUAUCCAAAUGCAAUCAGGUCUAUAAUAAAAGCAAAAAAUUGAGCAGCCAAUCUCCAGACUCUAAAGGAUAACAAUAUUUAAGAUCUUCAUUUUGCAGAAACAGCAUGAAACUGGGAAGGACAAAAGGCAGAAAUCAUAUCAUUGUGAAAAGUCAACACACUGAAUGCAACACACUGAAUCAUUAUGUACAAGUGAUUAGGCCUCAUUCAGUGUGUUGACUAACUAUGCUAGCUAUGGGCAAUCAUUAUGUUAACAUACAGGUCCUAUUUUAAAAAGUCUACAUAUUAGGUCUACCUUAACAAGUGAUAACCUAAGAAGUUCUGAACUUAACACAAAUUUAAGUAAAUCAGUGGUUUUUGAAACUUACCGCCACAUAUUCUUCCCAUACAGCAUCACUAUCAACAGAUGUUUUGUUUUUGUUCCAAUCCCAACCAAAUCCACUUGAUUCCAGCAUACCAUUGAUGAUAGUGUAGUGUUUGUCAAAGGUCUUGUUCCUCGCCAUGAUAUUGUCUUUUGAGAUAUCCACAUUACACUUUUCUCGGACAUUCUUGAUAGCAGCUGUAUAGACAUGAGACUUCCACCCAUUCUGGCAUCUGUCACCCUUGUUAUAGUACUCCACAAAUGUGUCAAGAAGAGCCUUGUCCAUGUCAUCAUUCCAAGAAAUGUAACCCCUGCCCGAGCCUGACUUCUUGCCCUUCUCCAUAUCCUACAGGAAAAAUGUUCACAAAAGGUUAUUAGUAAAAUAUUAGGAGCAAAACCAAAUAUCAUAAGUUUAAGCAUGUAUUGAUGAUAGAAUUUAUCAUACAUUGACCACGUCUUGCUUGGUAAUCAGCAAACAUUUGGUUAGCUUUGGUAUCCCUAAAAUUGCUCCAUUCAUUUGUUGAUUGAACAUUGGUAAUCAUACCCACUUCACUUUGAACUUCAUGAGGUUCAAAAGAUAUUACUUGAUCAACUUGGUGUAUAAGUAAAUCAUCCAUAUCUCUCUGUCUAUUAAUUACAAAGUUGUGCAAUAUGCAGCAAGCAUUAAUGAUCCUAAUCUGCAAGAAUUUAGUAGAAAUGAGUUGCAUGCUAGCUAGGGUCAUUCAGAGAUGAAUUUCAAGCUAGGUUACUAACUACGGAAUACCUGAUUUUGCAAGUCAAAAUAUGAGUUGCUUCUUAGUAUAGCCCACCUCAUCUUCAAUAGCCCAAAUGUUCUCUCUAUCACAUUUCUAGCAGUUGAAUGGCGCAAAUUGAAUAGUUCUUUGGCAGUGGAUGGGUUAUGCCCUUGAGCAGCCCACUCAUUCAAGUGGUAGCGAGUGGAUCGAUAUGGAGCAAGAAAGCCUGGUCCAUUGGUGUAUCCCGCAUCUACUAGAUAGUAUUUCCCACUUGGAAUAACAAAUGCAUCGUCCCGAGACAUUGCAUCACGUAGCACACGUGAAUCUGAAGCUGAUCCUUCCCAUCCCGCUAAGACGUAAACAAAUUUCAUGUGACGAUCACAAACCCCUAAAACAUUGGUGGUAAUCUGUUGCUUCCUAUUCCUAUACCUCCCUUGGUCAGCCAAAGGCACAAAAACGUCAAUGUGUGUACCAUCUAAUGCUCCAAGGCAAUCUUCAAACCACUUCCACUUGGAAUCCUCAGGUUGUACAGCUGAUGGAUCAGGAAGCUUGAUAAAUUCAUGGCAUAAUGAUAGAAAUGGGGAAGUGGAUCAAUCAUCAAGCAUUGGUGAACUACUCCCACACAAUUGUUUUGUCUCAGAGGACAAAUCAUCAAGCAUCUAGUUGUUAGUUUAUUAUUUGCAUUGCCAAAUUUAUAGGCUUUUACUAUGUUAAUUUUAUCUAUUGUAGCCAAGCAUCAUCAAAAUAUAAUUUAUUUACUAAUAAUUUGGGUUUAUCUGUUGUACAGGUUAAUAAUCUGCUGCAAGUUGCCCAGAAAUACCAAACUGCUGUCAAUGAAAGUGGACCAGCUGGGAUAUCAAACAAUGACGCACAAACCAUCUGUAACAUGUUAGUGAGCCUAUUUCACCUUCAGUACUUGACAUGCAUUUCUGUAGUGCUCUUUUGGCACGGUAAAUGAAAAAUCUUGUGCGUCAUUGUGUACAGAACAAGAUUGUUCUUGGUUAUCUUAUCCUUUUCCUUCUCUACUGUUAGGUUUGCCACUGCAUCACGGCAGCUAGCAAAAAAUCUAGAGCAUCACACCUUGAAUGAACAUGGGCUUUCCAAAAGAUAUGUACGCUGCCUGCAGGUAAUUAGAGUUCCCCUUUUAACUUUUACAGUUCAGUACAUACAUAAUGCGUGUACCAUGCUGAUGGUCGUCUUUCCUUGUCAGAUAUCGGAGGUGGUGAAUCACAUGAAGGACUUGAUUGAGUUCAGCCACAAGAACAAUCUUGGUCCGAAAGGUACGAUGAUCGUGCACAUUUUACCUAACAGUGUCUUCAGUUUUAUCUAGUAAUAACUGCUUACCGUCACUUCCUAGUCCCCCCAUUUACCUGUACUGCAGUUCUAAUAUUUUCUGUGUUCAUAUGCAGAGAGCCUGAAUAGUUAUUCUAAAACUAUUGCGAAGUUUCAGAAUAUGCAUGAUUCAAGACAGCUCAUGGCUGCUGCUAGCCUUGCCAAUAACCAGAGCAACACCAAAGUAAUGGGGGUCCAGCAAGAGGCAAGUGCUUUAUCUAGUAAUAAAAUUUAUAUGGGUCAAGCUAUGCGGUCUAAGUGUCAAACAGUCCAGGUCUCCAGGAAAUCAUGGGAAUAACAGAAUAUGCUACCUACUGUAAGAUUCUCUAUGCUAACAUACAGGCUACAUUGAUCGUACAUCUAAUUAUUCACUGAACGCAAUAAAGGCUAACUAUGUGCUAGAAAAUAGUCAGUAAAAAUGAUACAGGCAAAUAAUCAGUUAACAUUUUGGAUAAUUAGUAACUUCAUGUGUUACAGUUUAAUCAGUUAACAAAAAUAAUACUGGCAAAUAGUCUGAACUCUGGAGCGCCCCAAUGCCUAACCUAAUUUCACUCUAGGAGAUGCUCCAGGUUUGCACUAAAAUGGCAUAUAUUCCUACAAAACAUUGGGGAUAGGCACCAGGUGUACAAAAUAGUUUUUAUUCAAUGUCAUCAGCUUGUCACUGCCUGAUUACAAAGCAUAUCACCAUGUUGGCAAAUUUAAAAGGGCAAACAGUUGGGACAUGAAGCACAACCAGUACAUUUGAGGUGAAGAGAAGAGGCACGGCAUCGAUGGAGCAAGGAGCUGGUGCAAUUGUACAAGAGGAUCAAUUGCAAAUGUUGAAAAUACAUUGGACUGUUGCUGGCACUCAAAAUUCUGCAUAUGCAGCUCAUGUAUACUAGUACUACUCAUCCCACCCUCCAUGUUCUAUUACAACUAUCCAAGUUCAAUGAAAGCAUAACAGUGUAUAGUGUAUGCACUAUGCAGCAUCGUUUAAAUCUAGAUGCGCAGUUCAAAAAGUAACGGGCAAAGAAAUGGUGAUGUUCUAACUAGCCUCUGUUGUAACAAGAACACAUAGUCAGUGAAUUCUAAAAAAAGAAUAGUUUUCUUAGCAUUUUUGGUACACCAAUGGCCUGUACAAUCUCCAUUUACUACAAUAUAACAUCCACGCUACUCGAUUCAAAUACCAAAACAAUGAAAGCUUGGUGAUUUGUAAGAUUAUUAUGAAAUGAGAUGAUCCACCUGAAUUUAGGGAUGCAUUAACAGCUUAAUUAACUGACUACACUGAGAUCCGCAACGGCUACUCAGCACUCAGCAGAGAUGAGUAGCUUGGAAGCGGAUCCCGAGCGAAAACCCAGCAUAGAGCAGGUAGUUGGCGUUACCAGGGGACGACGGGAUCGGAGGCGGAGGCGCGUCGUGAGGCGGGUCGCACGAUGGUGUCCGGAACGCGCUUGUUGAGGUCGCGGAGGAUCUCGACGAGCGGGCGCGUGAUCCCGGACGGCGCGGCGUCGAGCGGCACGACGUAGUUGGUGGUGGACGCCGCCGCGCCCGGUGGCUUCCGCUCUGGCGCCGCGGCGGCGACGACCGCCACGCGGGUGGGGCGGCGCAGAUUCGGGGGUGGCGGAGGAGGGGCUGGCGGAGGGGGCGCCGGAGGAGGAGGCGGCAGUGCGGGAGGUGGCGCACGGAGUCGGGGGCGGCGGCACAGGGGCGAGAAGUCGGGAGGCGUCGGGGGGGAGGCGAGUCGGGAGAGUCGAGGAAUUGUUUUCCUGAUAUUUUGAUCGGAAUGUGGGGGAAGGAAGGAUGGAAUCACCAGGAAUCCCUCUUUCCAAUUCCGGGGGCAGCCAAACAGGGUGAUUUUGGAAAUUAAUUCCAAUUCCAGCAGAUUCUAAUGAAACAAACAGGCCCUUAAGGUAAUUUUAUAAAAUAAUAUAAUGUGAACACAAGCUCCAACUUUUAUCAUGGGGUCUAAAUCAACCCACUGCCUUUUUUUAUAAGAAAAAAACUUGUUAAACUGCCACGACCCGACACCCUGAUGUGUGGACCCCACCCGUUCACCAACUGACACCUACUCCGUACCAUACGCUUCGCUUCGCGGUGCACGACGCGCGAACCGUCGGAUCACCGAAGAGAACCCUAAAGAACACGCGCACGCAGACAUCGGCGUUCCGUCACGCGGGCGCUGCCGCUACCAACCAAACCAAACACGCCGGUCGGUCGAUCGCCGAUGGCCUCCUCGCUCCGCCAUUUCGCCGGCCCCAGCUGCUUCACCGCCACCGCCGCCGCGUCGUCCGGCGCCAGCGGCUUCCUGCGCCGCUACGCCCCCAAUUUCUGCGCCUUCGCGGCGCUCCGCCCGAUCAGGCCGGCCGCCGCCGCUGCCUUCUCCGCCGCGGCUGGCGCGGCAAAUCCCUGCGCCCCUCCGGCGGCCGAGCACGAGCAGCACCAGCUCCGCCACGAUAGCGAUCAACCGACCCCGUCGCCGGCGCCGGCGGCCCCCGCCCCCGCGGCGCUGCGGGUGGGGAUCGUGGGGUUCGGGAACUUCGGGCAGUUCAUCGCGGGCGGCAUCCAGCGGCAGGGCCACGCCGUGCUGGCGGCCUCCAGAUCUGACUACUCCGCCUACUGCGCGGACCACGGGAUCCGCUUCUUUGGGAGCGUCGACGCGCUCUGCGAGGAGCGCCCGGACGUGCUGCUCAUCUGCAGCUCCAUCCUGUCCACGGAGAGCGUCGUCAGCGCCAUCCCGUUCCACAAGCUCCGCCCCGACACCAUCGUCGCCGACGUGCUCUCCGUCAAGCAGUUCCCCCGCAACCUCCUCCUCGAGGUAAAUUUGCAGUUGCAGAGCCGGAUAAAUUAAGCGCUGUAAUUAACAUCUAACAAAUUUCAACACCUACAGACCUACUACCAACCAAUGCAAUAUUGCAAUGCAGUAGUGAGACGAAACUGUUGGUAGCUGGCUGAGGAGGUACGUAGGAGUAGGUGGCAAGCUUGAGUGGCGGAGAACACUAUGUCAAAUCCCCCUGGCCAGAAUUCGUAGCUUAUGGAUGGAUUCCUCUGUACUGACUACGACGUUGGCCUGGUCUUUCAGAAAAAAAGACUACAGCGUUGGCCUGAAUGCCUGCUGUUGGAACUUCAACUGCACUUUCAAAAAAAAAAAAUAAAGACUGUGUGGUCCAUUGCUGUGGAUUGAGGAUUACUGUUUUGUUGAUGUAAUGCCAACUUGUUAGAUUCUUCCACCGGGGUUUGGGAUAGUCUGCACGCACCCGAUGUUUGGGCCGGAGAGUGGUAAACAUGGCUGGGGCAAGCUACCUUUUGUUUACGACAAGGUCAGGGUCGCAGAAGGAGGAGAUCAAGCAACCAAGUGUGACCAGUUCUUGAGCAUAUUUGAACAGGAGGUAAUUCUAUUGGGACCAUGAGCAUUUUAUUUCUUUGAUGUUCACAAUGGAUAGUACUUUUGUGUGAGAAGUAGCAACUGACUAGAGUUAACAUAUGAAGCUUUUGUUUCAUUUUGUUCUAAAUGAUUCUGGUAGGGAUGUAGGAUGGUAGAGAUGUCAUGUGCGGAGCAUGAUCGCUACGCCGCGGGAAGUCAGUUCAUCACGCACACAAUUGGGAGGCUAGUGACAUUACGUAUCUAAAAUAUUUAUACAAUAACUCGUCAUUAUGCAACCGCUAGCUGACUAACAUUGUUGACUACAGAGUUUUGUCACAAUUGAAUCUGAAGUCAACCCCAAUAAAUACCAAAGGUUAUGAGAGCUUGCUACAACUUGUAAGUAUUGAAUGUCAUGGUCUUGUCCACUAUUGAUUGCCAAGAGCUUAUUUGUGACCUUGUUGCCUAUACCCUUUGCAGACACAUAACACCGUAAGUGAUAGUUUCGAUCUAUACUACGGGCUCUUCAUGUAUAACGUUAAUGCCACGGAGCAGGCAAGUAAACUCUCCCGUCUUCUCAUGAUGCACCAUCAUUAUCCUUCACCUACGUUACUACAGAGUAUACGUAACAUUUGCUAAUAGUAUGUGCGCCUAAAGGCUCCAACAUCACGCCUUUCAUAAUUUUACGCACAGCUUGACAAUUUGGAGAGGGCAUUUGAGAAGGUGAGACAAAUGUUGUAUGGUCGGCUCCAUGAUUUACUACGAAAGCAAAUCGUGGAGAGGGUCCCUAUGCCGGUGGUUUCUUCAAGAAAAUUGGAAAAUGGCAGGUCUAAUUCUUUUGCGGGCCUCUCUUAUCGCCUCUAACUACAAAAGAGAAGAAACAUGUAUCCUCCGAUCCGUUGCUUUUGUAGCCUCUACUACUACACGUCAACCGAUCGCUUCCAUCCCAAGGCAAUGCUAAAUCCAUGCCUCUCCCUAUUGUUGUUUUGUUGUGAAAGUUGUAUGUGUGCAAUUAACAUAGUUGUUAGCAUCAGUGGGAGAGUAAGAUCAUUGCUACGCUUUAGUUGUUAUGACUCCUGAUCUCUCCCCUUCCUUUCAGACCGCCUGCCUAAUGUAAUAAUACAAUUCAAGAGAUGUGAUUAGAAAUGUUCAUUGUAGAUUGAGAGGACACGAGGGAUGAGGCAGAAAGGAUAUCUUGUUUUAUAUAUUAUUGUUAUAAAUAAUGAACAUGUUGCAGCCACUAUAGUUUGACAAAAGAAUCAUGCUACGUAGUGUAAAAGUAGUUAUUGUUGUGUACAAUUUAUAGGGGUGAGUGUGUGCAUGUGAGCAUUUACAUUUGUGAUAUGCUUUUUAUAGAAAAAGUUCGCAUUGUAUUUGUGUGCCAUAACAACAAUAAUAUCUUGCAAACAUGGUGCGACAAAACGACAUUGACGUUGUGGAGGUGUGCACCAUGAUCAACCAUCACGUUAUCGCACCAUUGUCUCAAGGAACACAUGAGAUGGAUGCACAAUUGUGUGAUGAAACUAAGAGGUGGAGGUGUGGGACAAAGUUAUUUUGUUUGUUUGUGUCGGGGGUGGGAGGCAAGAGGCAUGGUGAAAAAUGAUAAUCUGAUCUAUACUUUGCCAUGUAGAGAUCUAUAUCCUAAACUCUUUUAUUGUUGUUACAAGUGUCAGGACUAGGAAGACUCAUUCCAGUACAAAGUGGUCACGAGGGAAACAAUACUUGGGGUGUCAUAGUAAAGUUAGCAUACUAGUUAUAAUAGUCUAGCUACACAUUCUUCAAAACUAGUAUGUUUCCACAGGUAAACAGGGAUAUUGAACGCUCCCUGUGUAUUGAAGUAUGUUAUAGACUGUCUACUAAGUUGUAGCGAGCUUUUCUUUCCCUCCAUUCAUUCUUCCUGCCAUGCAGGAUAGGUUGUGAUGUUUGUGCGGGCGACCACAAUGUGGUAGAAAAAUAUUCCAUAGGCAACAUUAUAUUCCAUUCAGCCACCUAUACCAUUGUAUAAGUAGUCCAUACAAAGAAUAUAAUAAAAGUCACCCAUAGCACUAUGGGCUGCUCAUAGGGCAUUUAAAAAUUAUAUUUGUAUACUGCAGCUAAUGGGGUAGAUGAUUCUUUUUUAUUGAUACUGUGUCAAACAAUCCCAAAAAAGAACGGUGUGUGUGCGUCUCUAAGUCCAACGAAUGGAUAUAGGCCUCUGGGCUGUAACCCAAACCAGGCACAGAGCCAACCAACCAGACCAGCCCAACUAAUAACCGAAAACGAAACAGAGCUGGUGUGGGACUGAUCUGAAACAUUGAACCCACUGAGCUCGCACUUGCACUAUUGCAGGGAACAAGUCAAAUAUGUAGCAUGACCUUUGAAAUUUACAUCACCACGCGUCUUCUUCCCCGAUAAAAUUUAAAGUACUCCUGUACAAGACACAGCAGAGGCCGGCGGUGAAUCAAUCAGACGCGGAGCGACCGAUCACGAUCACAUCACAUGAUCGAGCAAGCACCAGUCGGGUUCUCAUCGCUGAAGUAGUUCCGCACGGCGGCCGGCACGACGCCGGGCUGCUCGUGGUAGUUCCCGUAGAGCUCAGAGUCGUAGUACCCGUGCACGUGGUAGUUGUACGAGCUGGCCUUGCCCUGGGGGUACUGCGCCACCGGCAUCCUGGCCGCCGACGAGACGCCGCCGCGCGGCACGCUGCUGAAGUAGUGGUGGUGCUGCGCCAGCGCCUGCGCGGGCUUGGCCUGGUAAUGGUUGGGGUAGUAGGCCGCCGCCGGCUGCGCGUAGGCGUGGUGGUACGCCGGGUUGUUGUAGGCGGACGGCCACAGCACGGCGAGCCUGCCGGAGCGCCGCGCCGCGCGGAGCACCUUCUUCUGGCUCACCGACCCCAUCACCGUCACCUUGCCGUGCAUCCUGUCUAUGCUCACGCUGUGCACUCCUGAUCAAGGAAGAAAUGAAGCGAUUGUAAGGCUGAGGGAUUCUAGUGUUGUUGACCGAUGGAUCUGGGUGAACAAUUUGGUGGUGUACCUUCAAGCUUUUCCAGGGACCUCCUGACCUUGCCCUCGCAGCCGUCGCAGUCGAUGUUCACACGCAUCUCCACGAUCUGCACGCAUGCAAGUUUCAGAAGCAUAUACGAGAACGAACACGAGAACUUCUCAAGAAAUUUGCAUCAAACCAGCAAAAUGAUGAGAUGCUACAGCAGAACAAACUUACCGUCAUGGCAGCUGCUCUUUGGGUAGAAGACGCAAAUCGAAGCUAGUUAAUUGAGAACUGCGACCUUGCCGAUGGCAAAGUAUACUCACUUCGGGGAGUUCACUAGGACAGUGUACUGGUGUGUAUAUAUGCACAAGGAACACUACUGGAGUUGCAGCCGGAGAUAAGCCAAUAGAAGAAGCUGUGUCGAUCAAGUCACCGAAGUCAAGUCAAGAUGCUUGGUGAUGAUGCGUGCGUUGAUGACGUGCGCGUAAACAAUAAUGCCAGGAUAUUGGCGGCUAAUUUCCGCGUUGCUGUAGCCCGCUGAGCCCGAAAAAGCGAUGGUGCAACGAAUAGUUGAUCUACAUGCAACUGUGGCCUAUACUGGCCUCAAUUGCCGUGACGUCGCUGGCCGUGCUGAUCCCAGUAUUUCUUCCCUACGAGAAUGACUGGAAGUUGCCUGCCAUUACUUGGAUGCUUCGGUCAUGGACAACGACCAGUGAAGUAUAAACUAUAAAAACUAAGUUGAAUCGACGCAGCAGGGAUAGUGUUGGUUAAGAUAGAUAUCUGCGCAAAUUGAGCAAGUAGGCAAACAAAAAUAUCAGGUCGCUCUUACUGCGAGAUACCAGCAAAGUUUUUUUUCUUUUCCAAAUUAUCAAAAGGAGUCAGCAAAACCUAUUGAUGAUGUUUUGGAACACACCCGCAAAGAAAAUGAUAUUGUCGACAGACACAAACUAUAUUGAUCUAUUCAUUCACUAGUAGAGAACUCACCUUCAGUCUCCUGAUCGGUAGGGUGCAUAUCUCCCGAAAAUUCAUCCGGAAUAAACCAAUAGAGACAAAAGGGAGGUCUUUAGUCCUGGGUCCUUCAACCGGGAGUAAAGCCACCCUUUAGUCCCGGUUGGGUUUCCCAACCAGGACUAAAGUUCUACUUAAAUUUCAGGCGCGCGCCAUGCAGGCGCCUGCAUGGCGCCUAUAAUUUCAUGCAUCACGUACGUACCCGGCCCUUUUAUUAACCUUUAGCAGUUGAGACUUUUUUAUAAUGAAAUUAACUAGUAUUUAAACGAAUGAAAUUAGUAAUUAUACAAUUACUAUAUACAUACACAAUUCUUAGUAUAUAUAUACAAUUCUUAGCAUACUAUACAAAUCGAUCUUAGUGUGUAUUAUAUAUACAAAUCAAACUAUAUAUCUACAAUCUUCCCGUCUAGGUGUUGCUCAGAGCGUCUAAAUUGCCGCUACUCUUUCCUUCUUCAAGAGUCCUUGUUGAAUAUUUAAUGUCUAUAAUUUGGAAAUAUGUGAAUGUUACACGAACAAUUAAAUAUAAGGAGUUAAAAAAUAAUUAACGAGCGACGUCAUCUUUAGUCCCUUGGGUCCCAUAAAACUGUGCAUGUGCUCACAGAUGUAGUAGCCACAUAGAUUAUUUCUGGGUUUCUGUCUUAAGCACUUCAGUGGGGAAAAAUAAGUCAUGAAAUAUUCGUGUUAUACAAUGUAAAAAAGUGCAAACUUCAUGUACCGGGAAGUCUGUGUUCCAUGUAAGUUUUUCUUUGAAUGGACCUUUGUGUGUCCACAUAAAUUGUUUUCAUGCGUUGCGGAUUAGAAUAAUGAAUGAUAUAGUGUAACCGGGAUAAAAUGUAGGAAACCAACUUUUGCAUAGAGAUAAAGAUCCAGAAUUCUUACAAGCCUAACAUAUCUUGCAUGUCUCGGUACUCCAUCAGAUCUUUACUCAACGAAUCGAAGACAGUGACGUGGCUUGUUUCAGGCUCAAUUAUAAUGAGGAUCCAGUGAAAGCUGCGUACGUAAAUGUUCAUACAUAUUAGAGCUAACUAACAUUAAUCAGGUAAAGAAAAAGAAAACAAAAGUAGAUGGCAUACACACACUUACUUGAAGUUGUAUGGAAGUAGUAUGAAAUACUUGAAUUUUUGUUUGUCUAGGAAAUUGUAUACUUCCACCAAAGUUUUUUUCGGCGAUACCUGUAUCUAUUUUUGGUUAACUGCGGAUGGAUCCAUGAAGCUAAUAUGUAGGUACGCUUCUCAUCGGCACGUCUGAAUUAGCAUCCUACAUAAAAUGGAAGACGAAGUUAGUACGGUGACGCACGCAAAAAAAAUAAUGAUAUGAGCCAAAAUUUACAUGUAGAUAAACGAACACUUACAGAACCCAGGCACUGAUCAGAGAGACGUCCAGGGCAUCAUGAUGGUACACUUCGUAUAUAUCCUUGAAUUCUAGCCACAGAACUUUCUCGCCUUCGUCGUAAAAAUCUAUCGGUUUUACCUUAAGGCCGAACAUCUCCCUUGAGUCGGCGGACACCUUCACGUACCAUUGAUGGAAUUCGUACAUCUUUGUUGAUAGCUUCCGUACCAACUCAGGCCUUACUAGAGACUUGCCUAGCUCAAAGGUCCAUCUCAGUUCAACUGACGAUGCAGCUGGCGGCUCAACUUGCCCUAAACAUUCAUCAAGUUUUUCUUCCAUGAAUUUCAAUACUUGUGCUUGUUGAUCUAAGAGCAUUGCUGCUAUCUUUUGAGCGUCUUUUUCUGGUAGAUGCCCGAGGUCGGGGACAACACCACUGGAAGAUGAUUUUCCUUUCCUUUUGUCCCUCUUAUCAGCCUUGACUAAAGCCCAUUCGUAGUUUGAUAGUAGUGGUACCCUCUUCUUGGCUCCUUCUUCCAUCCUGAUAAAAAAAUUUAAAUCUCUUUGAUUUACUGGCUGUGGCUCCAUCUCCCUUGCUUUUUUUUCUUCGAUUUGUUUCUUGAACCACUCACUGACCUCUGCUUGGAUUUUGGCCCUUUGUUCCGCAUGAGUCAUUGCCUCCCAACGUUCCUUACGAGUCACUUCAGGCUCCUUUCUUUUCUUCUUUCUCUAUCUUGGCUUGGGAGGCGGUGGUCGUGACUUCUUAAGUGGUGCUGCAGGUUCCUUCAUCGGGGCUGCUCUUAGUCCCGACGACAGUGAUCGGGGAGGGGUGUUGUUAUUGUCAUUGUCACUCCCACCACUAGGAUGUGGUGGAGAUGGACACCUUGAUCGAGUAGGAAGCAACGGUCCUGGAACAGGUUGUGCAGGAGACGACGGUCUUGAGCUUUGAGGAGAAGGUCGCUGCUGGGGAUCUGUGGGGAGCGGUCUUGAGCUCUGAGGAGAUGCCUCCAUGCCGGGAAUGAUGAUGUAGCAUUUGCGCCAUAGAAUGAUCCCAUGAAGCGCAUCUCCUAGUGUCCUUUCCCCGUCGCCUCCCGGGAGGUCGAGCUCUAGGACUUCAUAUUGGCUAUCAACAAGCUGCUCUACGCCGACGUUGGCGUAGCUAGGUGGAAUCUCCAUGCCAUGGCUUGUCUGCCCUGCCAGGAUUGGUAACGCACUCCUGUACACCACCUGUACAUAUAGCAGAAGUAAACAAGUUAUUAAACUCUGAUCCUGAGGCGUGGAUCAAUUGAGAAGAUUGCAUAAAUAUUAGGUCUUGUUCCAUCUUCUUCCAUCUGGGAAUUGCUCUGCCAUAACCACCUCGCCCUAGAUGAUGAUGAUACUACUUAUGACCAGCAUUUAUAGUGUUGGUCUGGAUCUUUUUCACACCGUCUUCGCUCCUCUUGUAUUCAACAAAUGUCUCCCAGUGGUCUCUCAACUUUGGCCACACAUCGAAAUCUGGAGUUCGGUCCUUCUUAAGGUAGUUGGCAUCCAACAUCUUUUUGAAUACCUGGAGUUGUGUAGCCAUCAUCUUCAGCGUCCACGUUUUCACAUCCUUUUUAAUAUAUCCUUCGGGAAAUGUGAAAUGUCUUGUGACAUCUUCCCACAACAUAUUCUUUUGUUUAUCCGGGAGCGCGUACGGAUUAGUGCUUUUGACCUUCCAUUCCCUGAUGUUGAUAGGCACAUUAUCCCUUACGAUUGCCCCGAUCUGACUCACGUGCUUCUUUGCUACUUUUUCAGGAGCAACCGACCUGCCCUCUUCUGUGACUUCCGUGAUGACAAGCCUCCCAUCCAUCACCCUUGUACAACCUCGGGUCUUCUGACAUUUUGUCGAUCCAGAGGGCUAACAGUUCAAGAUUCGUUAAUUAGUAUAUAGUAAUAACAAUGGGGUAAAAUAAUGGAAAUUAUAUAUACCUCGCCGGAACCUUCCACCACGGUAAGGUUUUGCAGGGCCUCGGGCUCUUUGCCAUCACCGGAACCUUCCGCCACGGCAAGAUUUUGCUGGGGCUCGGGCUCUUCAUUGCCAUAGCUGGACAUGUUGAGGAACAUGUCCGCCUGGGUGCCCUCUGCAUCGAUGUACGAUAUGGGAAGGUUAGAGCCACUAACAUUACCAGCAAUAAUCUGCUCCAUUAGAUACCUUGCGGUCUCAUCGUCUGUCAUCUCAACUACUGAUUGAAACGUACAUGAAAGCAUACAUGACAGUCAUGAAUCAUAGAAUAACCAUGAAAUAGGCAACUCACACGAAACUAAACUUACAUGAAAUUGCCUUAGUUAAAUGUACGUUAAGGUAUAUACAUGAAAUCAUACAAUAACAUGAAUCCCACAAAGUUUGGAAUGUUUAUACAAAUUUCUACAAAUUAGUAGUAAUUUGUAAGAAUUUAUACCAACUUUAUACAAAUUUCUAGAAAUUUAUUGGAAUUUCUAGAAAAUUUCUACUAAUUCCUACUAAUUUUAAGAAUUCCUAUAGAAAUUCUUCUUAUUUCUAAAUAUUUCUACUAAAUUUCUUCAAAUUAGUAGUAAUUUGUAAGAAUUUCUACAAAAUUUAUACAAAUUUCUAGAAAAUUAUUGGAAUUUCUAGAAAAUUUCUACUAAUUUUAAGAAUUCAUACCAAAUUUCUUCUGAUUUCUAAGUAUUUCUACUAAAUUUCUACUAGUAAUUUGUAAUAAUUUCUACCAAAUUUAUACAAAUUUCUACUAAUUAUACUAAGUUUCAACUAAUUUUCUAUUGAUUUUUUUACUAAUAGCGAAACUAAUCUAUUGAUUUUCUACUAAUAUCUAUUGAUUUUCUAAUUAAAAAAUAAAAAAGACGCUUGCGUCAACAAGGGCUGUUCGUUUCCGGCGCCAGUGCCGGCGGGGAUCGGUGCCUAGCUACUGGGGCGACAAGGCCGUACGCGGCUAAGGCAGCGGAGUGGCAAUGUGCACGCUGGCAGAGGUGGGGACGGAGCGAGGUGGCCACGGCGACGAGGGGCGGAGGUGGCCGGCGACGAGGGAUGGAGGCGGCGCGACGGAGGCGGUGAUGAGGCGGCACAACGGAUGAGGGCAUGGCGGCGACGGAGGAGGUGGCGUUGACGGAGGCAGCGACGAGGACAGAGGCGGCGAUGAGGCGGCACGAUGAAGGCGGAGGCGAUGAGGUCGAGGGGGCGCGAUGGAGGAGGAGGCGGUCUGGGUGCGGGUGAGGUGGCCGGGGCGGCGGGACGAUGGCGGUCGGGGCGAUGGGCGACGAGGACGAUGGCAGCCGGCGAGGGAGGGCGCGGAUCUUCGUGGCGGUGAAAAUUUUGCCUGAGUGUAACUAGCGUGGGAGGGGGGAGGUAGAAGAGGCUACAAUUGCUUUUAUCCCCUCCCCUUUUAUCCCGGUUCGUAAUUGAACCUGGGACUAAAGGCCCUUUUGUCCCGGGUGCCAGUACCAACCGGGACAAAAGGUCCCCCCUUUUAUCCCAGUUGCAAACUGUAACCGGGAUAAAAGGGUACGUUCCCGGUGGAAAUUGAAAACUACCAUUUUGUCUCGGUUACAGUUUUCAACCGAGAUAAGGGGGGUCUUUUGUCUUGGUUGCUAUUGGCACCCGGGAUAAAAGGGCCUUUUGUCCCAGUUGCUGUUGGCACCCGAGACAAAAGGACCUUUUCCCACACUUUCAUCUCCCGCCUAUUUUUUGAAAAUGGAUUUUAUUUAUGUUUUCACUGCAUUCAGGAUGCAAAAACAAAAAAACUUUACAUAUUUUGAACAUACAAAAAUAUAUUAAAUUAGCAAAUAUAUUGACAAUAGUGUGGAUGAGUCAUUAAUGCUAUACCAGUUCUUUUAGCUUCUAAAAUAAUUAUUUUACUCCAUCGCUAUGAUCAAGAAAUUAUUAAAUUAAAUAAUUUCAAUGCACGAAAAAUUCAAUUUAUGUAUGUGGUUAACUUUGUUCAUGUUUAUCUAAUAAACCUUCACCUCAACUAAUUUAAGCACACAUAAAAUCAUACAUAUGUCAAAUUAAAAAUUGUAUCAAGUAGUACAUAAAGCUGAAGUAAAUUUAGCGCAUUACAAUACAACAUUAUAAAAUUUCUUAUUCACGAAAGUUCCUUGAUCAUGAUCGCGGCAUAAGUAUGAAGCCUCUUCUUUGGAUAGCAGGAUGCUUGGGUCAACUUCAACAGCGAAUAGAGGCAUGCCAUCAAACUGAUCAUAAUCAUCUGAUUGGUCUGUUUUAUCCUCGACUCCGUAUGUGGCGCUUUGGCUCCCAUGGCUCUUCUGGAUUUCUCUUGGGUUUGCUGACAUGUCCUUCACAUAAAAAACCUGAUGCACAUCAUUGGAAAGUACGAAUGGUUCAUCACUGUAUCCAGUCUUGCUCAGAUCCACUAUUGUAAUUCCGUCCUAAUCUUUGGUUACGGCAGUUAGCUUCACCCAAUUGCAAAGAAAUAGAGGGAUGUAGAGCAGUCCGUAUUCGAGUUCCCAUAUCUCCUGUAUGAAACCAUAAUACGACUCCUUACCAUUGUUUCUAUCUAUGGCAUCUAUGCAGACACCACUAUUCUGGUUUGUGCUUUUCUGGUCCUGGGCUCUCGUGUAAAAUGUAUAACCAUUUAUCUCAUAGUCUUGGAAUUUCACGAUUCUGCUACCAGGUCCCCUGGCUAACCAAGCGAGCUGUGGGUGAAUCUUAGAGUUACCCAUAAGUUGUUGGCACAACCAGGAGGGAAAAAUUUCCAUGUGAUGACGUGUAAGCCAAGCAUCGAAUUUCGUCGGGUUUUUGGAAACUACCAUCUGCGUGUUGCUCGAUAUACGGAGCCACAAAGGAUGACUAUUGCAGAAUAGGGUAGUGUGCCUUGUUGAACAAAUCAGUAUCAUUGCUCAAACUUGAUUUCCUUCUAAGGGUGCCCAUUCCCCGCAGCUUCCCUUGUGGCGUGAAGUUGGAACCCCAAUCGAGUCAAUUGAGUCAAUAAAAUCAACACAAAACUCGAUCACCUCCUCUGUUCCAUAUCCCUUGGUGAUGCUUUCUUCUGGACGGGCACGAUUAAGAACAUAGUUUUUUAGACUGACAUGAACCUCUCGAAAGGCCACAUAUUGUGCAGGUAUACAGGUCCGAGAAUACCAAUCUCUUUUACUAGGUGAACCAGUAAGUGCGUCAUAAUAUUGAAGAAAGAUGGUAGAAAUACCAACUCAAAACUGACAAGAUAUUGCACCACAUCGUUCUGUAGCUUUGAUAGGUUGGAUGGAUCGAUUGCCUUCUGCAAAAUCGCAUUGAUAAACACGCAUAGCUUUACGAGCGACAAUCAGACAUUUUCUGAUAGAACACCCCUCAGUGCAACCGGAAGCAACUGGGUCAUCAACAUGUGACAGUCAUGGGUCUUGAGAUUUGUAAACUUUUUUUGUUUUAUAUUUAUUAUUCCCUUUAUAUUUGAGGAGAACCUAGAUGGGACUUUUGUACUAUUCAAGCAUUUAAACAUGCUAUUCUUCUCUUACUUGCUGAGAGUGUAAUUGGCAGGAUGUAAGUAGUGCUGUCCGUUAUCUCUCUUUUCCGGAUGUAGGUCAUCUCGUUACCCCAUGGCUUUCAGGUCCUGUCGUGCUUCCAAUGUAUCUUUCAAAGUCCCAUAAACACCCAUGAAGCCUAGCAUGUUCACGCAAAGAUUCUUCAUUAGGUGCAUCACAUCUAUUGCGUUGCGGACCUCUAAGAUUUUCCGAUAAGGUAGCUCACGAAAUAUUGAUUUUUUCUUCCACAUGGGUGCAUGUCCGUUAUCAUCGUUCUGAACAGGUUGGCUACCCUGACCCUUUCCAAAGACUACAUUUACAUCCUUUAUCAUCUCGAAGACAUGCUUUCCAUUACGGUGUGCAGGUCUUUUACCAUCGUCUGGCGCCCCUUUGAAAUGCAUUCUGCUCUUUCUCAGCUGGUGGUGAGCAGGGAGAAAUCGACGAUGACCCAUAUAGACGACCUUCUUACAAUGCUUCAAAUACAUGCUGUCUGUGUCGUUUAAACAGUGAAUGCAGGCCACAUAUCCCUUAUUUGUCUGCCUCGAAAGGUUACUCAGUGCAGGCCAAUCAUUGAUGGUUACGAACAAAAAUGCUCAUAGAUUAAAGAUCUCUUGUUUAUCCUCAUCCCACACACGUACACCUUCUUCCUUCCAAAGCUGUAAAAGUUCAUCAACCAACGGUCUUAGGUACACGUUAAUGUUGUUGCCGGGUUGUUUUGGGCCUUGGAUAAGCGCUGACAUCAUAAUAAACUUCCGCUUCAUGCACAGCCAAGGAGAAAGGUUGAACAUACAUAGGGUCACACAAGUACUAUGACCAUUACUCAACUCACCGAAUGGAUUGAAUCCAUCAGUACUUAAACUAAACCUUAUGUUCCUUGCUUUACUUUCAAAGUCCAGGAAUGCUCUAUCAAUUGAUCUCCACUGGCCCCAUCUGCGGGGUGUCUCAGCAUCUCAUCUUCCAUAUGUUCUUCUUUGUGCCAUCGCAUCAACUUAGCAUUCCCCUUGUUGCUGAACAAGCACUUCAAGUGUGGUAUUAUAAGGAAAUACCACAUCAUCUUCACGGGAACUCUCUUCUUGGGAGAUUGCCCCUCGACAUCACCUGGAUCAUCUCGCCUAAUCUUAUAUCGCAGUGCUUUGCACACGGGACAAGCAUCCAUUUUCUCAUUUUUAUCACCACGAUAGAGGAUACAGUCAUUAGGGCAUGCGUGUAUCUUCUAAACCUCCAAUCCGAGAGGGAAAAUAAUUUAUUUAGCUUCAUAUGUUGUGGACGGUAAUUCAUUAUUCUCGGGAAGAAUCUUCUUGGUAAUGUUCAACAUCCCCUGAAAUGUCUUAUCGGACACACCAUUUUUUGCCUUCCAUUGCACAAAUUCUAGUGUCGUACCUAGUUUUUUAUGGCGCUGCUGGCAAUCUGGGUACAACAAUUUGGUGAUCAUCUAUCAUGCGCUGCAACUUUACUGCUUCCUUCUCAGUUUCACAAUCUCUUUGUGCAUCUCGUAGCACCUGACCAAGGUCAUCAGUAGGGCCAUUUUGUGCAAACUCAUCUUCAUCAGCCUCGCCCAUUGUAGUAUCUGUAAAGUUUGGCCUGCAGCCCAGUCCGAAAUGUUGUCAUCAUCCUCUUCCUCUUCGCCGUCUUCCAUUACAACCCCUCUUUCACUGUGCUUGGUCCAAACCAAAUAGUUAGGCAUGAAACCGUAUCUAAACAAGUGGUUGUGAAUAGUCCUCCAGGAAUCCUUUGAAUAGUCCUUCUUGUUACUGCAUUGGAAGCACGGACAACAUACGAACCCGUUCUUUGGCUUGUUCGCUUUGGCCACUUCGAGAAAAUAAUGCAAGCCAUCAAUAAAUACCUUGCUCCGUCUGUCUGCAUUAUAUAUCCAUUGCCGGUCCAUCUGCAUGGUAUUACGCAUGAAAAUAGAUUACGCGUGAAAAUGGAUUACACUUGAAAAUUGAUUACACAUGAAAAUUGAUUCACUAUUGAAAGCAUGUCAAAUGUUGUAAUGCAAAUAAUGUUGAAAGUUUAGAUAUAGAUAGAAAUACACAUAUUUAAAUUACAGAUACAAACAGCAUGAUACACUACGACAAGCCAUCCACUGAUUAUUAUCUAGGAGGACUUUGAGCAUCCUUGGGCGGUGAAGACGAAGGUUCUGCUGACCCAGACUCAUCAUGUGGUUUAUUUGUGCCUCCUGGAACGGUAGUACUAAGUGGACGUGAAACACCCGGGACUGAUGGUGGAGCAUAACGACCACCAAAAGGAGGUUCCUAACCCGCCGCAAUAGCAUCUUCAUGAAGUUUCUGCAAAUAACGAAGCAUUGCUUUCUCCAAUGUGCUCAUUUUCUUUGGUUUAUCCUGAGGGCCAACUAUGAUUUUUCCCCUUGUCGCAAGAGGAACGACGAUCGCCCCCACCAUCGCCACUUACUCCAGUAGCAGAGGCCAUCUAUGUACAAAAAUUCAUACCUUAGCACUGCAGAACUUGUUGAACUUGAAGACCAUGAUCAUCUGCCGAGCAUGUUCUCAACUGGGUGGCACCAUACUUCAUCAUGGAAGAGUUUUGAUUCUAUGAAAAAGGGGACAUGGUGUUCCACGAUGUCUGUAUCUGCUCUUUCUCGUAGAAUCGGAGCUCCUCCUUGACGUCCGUUGCUGCUCGGCGGAGAACAUGCAAACCGAGAUGAACACGGUAAUGCAAGUUCAACAAGUAUGGAUUCGAAAAACCAUAUUGAAUUUGACAAGAUAAACCAUCUAGACAAGGGUAGCAUCAUUCUUAAACCACUACAAGGAUACAUACUAUAUAUGACACAUCAAUCUCCCUCACAUUCUAGCUCAAAAUCCUCUCCAUUUUCUACUUUACAUUCUAGCAAAUAAACUAUCCAUCUCCAUUCUACACAUCAAGUUGUUUUAGCUAAUACGAAUCGUAUAUAACAAGCAAACUAUCCAUCACAUUCUAGCUCAAAAACAUGUAUAAAUACAAAUCCUCUUCAUUCUCCCUCUUUCUAACAAACAAACUCAUUUUUCUUCCUCUCUAAAGCAUAAAUCAAAGCAUAACACGAGGAUGAAGUAGCAAACCUUCACAACACUUUGGAUGAGUGAAAUUCCCACGAAAAUAAGGAAAAAAAACUUCGAGCAGCACCUCCCUUGCUUCGGCACCACAGGAGAGUAGGUGAAGCUCAGCUCUCUGUCUUUGUGGUGGACUGGUUUGGGCUGGAGGAGGAAGAAAGGCCUCUGUCUUGGUAUAUAAUGACGGAUGAGUUUUUAUCCCGGUUGAAAACUCCAACUGGGAUAAAAAGGAACACCUUUUAUCCCGGUUGAAAGUUUAUUCCCGACUGGAGGCUCCAACCGGGACAAAAGGGACAUGCCACCGACGCUCGGGAACUAGCUGUUACAACUAGUCCCGGUUGCAAAUACCAACCGGGAGUAAAUGUUCGCCCAUUCCAGCCUACCGUGGCGCAUAACCUUUUCUCUCAAGUCUAGAUUAAACCGGAACUAAAGGGGGAGAAUCGAAAGUUAGUUCUCUACUAGUGAUUGGGCCUUAGUGGCCACAAUGACCAUUAAAAAUUAAAAUCUUUUGUGGCUACUUUGCAUUUUAGCCAUAUGCGCCCGAUAUUUGAUACCUUAGGUGGUGUUUGGAUCAGUAGUUCAUGGACUAAACUUUAGCUCCUAAACUUUAGCCCCUAAAAUUUAGUCCUGCUGGGCCGUUCGGAUCCAUGGACUAAAAUGGGCUAAAAUCUAUAAAUGUUGUUGAAAAAGACACUAUUACCCUCUUUGCCUGCCCCUGGCGCAUACACCUUCUUCCCCAACCUUUGCACUCACCGCCCUUCUUCCUCCUCCAAAUCCGCAACGCGCACGGCGACCAGAAGCCACCACCGCUGCUGACGGUCGCCCACCACACGCGACGCUGGGUCGCGUAGCGAGAUCCGAGGGCCUGCGCGCUAUCGCCCUGCGCCGACGGAUCUUCGCGCGAGGCGAGGCGGAGGCAGAAGAGGAGGCGGCGGCUUGGGCUCGGUGGAGGCGGAGGAGGCGGGGGGCCGGAGGCGGCGGUGCCGGUCGGAGGAGGCGGGAGGCUGGUCGGAGGAGGCGGGGGGCCGGAGGCGGCGCGACCGGCCGAAGGAGGCGGGCUCGAGCAGAGGCAGCGGGCGUGGGAGGCAAAGGAGAGAGGAAGUGCAGGAGGAGCAAGGCACCACGCGGAGGAGAGAGGAAAAGGGGCAGGGGUGGAAUUUGUGGUCCUGGGAGCACUUUUAGCCCCUUUUAGAGCUUCUUUGGGGGUUAAAAUUUAGCUCCUAAAAUUUAGUUAUUUGUCACUUUUAGUCCUCCUGUUUGAUCCCAAGAGCUAAAUUUUGAGCUAAAAGUGCAAGACUAAAUUUUAGUCCAUGGAUCCAAACAGGCUCUUAGUAUAUUUGUUUUUCCCCUUUAAAAAGGAUGAUCCUGCUGCUGUCUUGGAGGCUAUGGUUUGCAAUGAAUGUGGCCCAAGAUACAUCUAUAUACGCAUACCUAAAGUAUGUGUGGUUUCGGACCGUCUCGAGGUUGUAAAGAACUUAGCAGCUCCAGAAGUUGCCAUUGUGGUCCAUGGGAAGCGACUACGUAACAUCGCCCCUAAUCUCUUCAUUAUCUCGAAAAAGGAGAAAAUACCUUCGCAACAGGUUUUGCUAGGGAAUAAUUGGAUUCAGGAUCGGAACUAUCAACCUCCAGCACCCAGGAUUCAUUUCCCAGCACUUCACUGAAUUCCUACUUCUUUGGCGGGGGCAACCAGAGAAGCCCAGCUACGUCCAGACAUUCAAGACAGCAUCUAUUGGAAGUUAACCGAAGAUGGAGCAUGCACGACAGGAUCAGCAUAUUGAGCAAAAUUUCUAGCAUCUGUACAAACUACCUUUCACACAUUCAAACGUGGGCGUCACAAAAGUGCAGGUUAGCUAGCCCUUCAAAAUAGAAUCGGAACACUUGAAGUUCGUGGAUGCACUACUGAACCAUCGAUCUUUAAAGCGCGUUUGGAUCCGGUGGCAAACCUCUCGUCUCGCCUUGUUUGCACAGAAGUUGGAGCAGUUGAUGAGUUUGGUUCCUUGACGUGCUGCCUAGGGACCUGUGCAAGCGAGUUUUUAGGGUGCGUUUGGUUGGGAGACAACGUAGAACGGGACGGUCCCGUCCCAGUUUUUCGGGAUGGGAUGAUCCCAUUUCUUGUUUGGUUGAAUGGGAUGGGGUCGUCCCAAUUUUUUGUUUGGUUGGAGAGAUUGCGACAGACGGGAUGAGCACCGUUUUCUUCUUCCGUUAGACACCGUUUGUGGGGCCCACUCGUCAUACUAACAACGUCUUCUUCUUCCUCCCUAUCUUCUCCUUAUCUUCUCCCGCCGGCCUUAUCUUCUCCCGCCGGCCUCCUCCGGUCCUCACCCGCAGCUCGGGACCUCGCCCCCGCCGACGUCGGGCCCCGGCCGCGUCCGCCCGCGGCGGAGCGCCCGCCCACGCCGGCCGCGCCCGCCCGCGCCGGCCGCGGCGGAGCGCCCGCCCGCGCCGGCGCGCGCUCCCCGCCGGAUCCGCCCGCGCCGCCGCCGGAUCCGCCCGCGCCGCCGCCGGAUCCGCCCGCGCCGCCGUCGGGCCCGCCAGCGCCAGCCGCGCCCGCGCCGCCGCCGGGUCCGCCCGCGCCGCCGCCGGGUCCGCGCGCGCCGGCCGCGCCGGCGGCGGGUCCGCCCGCGCUGGCAGCGCUCGCCCGCGCAAACGGCGCGUGACGGGGGCGAAGUGGGAUGCCCCCGUCCGCCACUUUUGGUGGGACGGGGACGUCCCGCAUCUGGAGGGUAUAUUCCCUCCCUGGGAUGUCCCCGUCCCACCUGUCCUCCAACCAAACGCGGGACGAAGUGGGAUCGUCCCGUCCCGUCCCACUUCGUCCUCGCAACCAAACGCACCCUUACUUGCUGAAAGCAAGCCAGCCGGAACCGCUCUCCGCCGGCGGCAAGCCUUGCCUGGCAAAGCGAGGUUAGACGCAGCUUAUGUCCAAAACCAAACGUGCCUUGGUAUCCGUCACAGGCCGGUCGCAAAUGAUAGUUUCUAUCCCUCUUAAUUAUCAUGCUAAUUAAGCAAUUUGCUGAUGUGGCAGUAGAUUUAUUAUGGGGAGAGAGAAACCAUUUCUUAGAGAGGAAACCAAAUUCUCAUGCGCACCAAUGAGCUAAGAAAUCAGCGAAUCUGCAUCGGGGAGACCCAAGUAGUUUCUUCUUACUUACUGCCGGAUCCUUUGCGCUUGCACUGCUGCUACCCAUCACUCGAGCUCCUUUACAUAAUGCACAGAGAAUCUGGUACUAGAAGGGAGAAUGAUUGGUUAAAUUUUUAUUUAGACUCUAAAUAAAAAAAGUUAUAUUAUGAAGGAUGAUUUUUUAAUACAAUAUCCUAAACUAUGGAAACUAGGUUGGUUUCUCAUGUGGGGACUGCCCUUCUGCAUCAGCGCGGCCGCCUCCGUCAUCCCGGACAUCUUCGAUCGGACCCCGUAGCACCGGGCCCACAAGAGGUAUCCCACACCCAAACCUCAGCACAGCACCGACGAUUCACCAAUUCAUUUCUCCUGCGGCCCACCUAUCCUUUCUCUCCUGUUCUCUCUCUCGCGCUAGAGAACUCCGGCAGCCUCAUGGCACCCCAACAUCCUCACGCGCGGGCGUCGCAGAUUCCCUAAGCGGCGGGCGCGCGCGCUGCCUCGAGCGCGCCUCCGGAGGCGAGCUGCUUCGGAUCGAGGCGUGCUGCGGCCGAUCCAGAUGGUUUGGAGCAGAUUGAAGCGGCUGGAGGAGUUCCUCACGGAGGAUCUCGACAUGGGGCGGAGUUCAAAUCCAGAGCUCUGGAGAUGAAGGAGCUCGAAUCGCCUCUGCCUCAAUCGCGCACCGGCAGCCCUCUCGUCGAUCUGGUUCCCUGCCGCCUCCGCAUCGAUGUGCUGCAAGUGCCACAUUUCUGCAGGGCUGCGAGGUCGUCGUGGCCGAGCAACUGGUGGGCAAGGCCACGGCGAUUGAAGAGGAACCUGGGUGCCUCCAUGAGCCGGGCGAGCACAACGCUACGCUGCCACUCGUCGGUCUCCGGCCAAAAUUGGUGAGGGGAAUAUGUUCAAAAAGCCUCCAAUUUCGUUUCCCCUUGGCAUUCCUCUCCGAUUUGGUGCAUGGGAGUCAGAACCAUUGGUGCUCCUAUUUUAACUCUUCUUCUGGCUGUGCCCGUGAGAUGGUGGUGGAAACGAUCAAUCGUGCAACUCUAACUCUUAGCUCUACAGAUACUACCCCUUUUGCCUCAUUGUUCCCUUUGAUGCUUGGUCUGUGGCUUUAGUGCUUUGUUAGACGGGUGAUUAUGAACGGAUGGGUAAUAUAUGGAUGCAAAUAUGGUUUCUGUUUUGCUAAGUGAUAAUCUAAUCAAUGGCCUAGACUGUUCUAAAUGAUCGAUUUGAUUGGAGGAGCACAGCAUCUCAUCAAGCUCUUUCUCAAUUAUUAGACCAGAAUUAGUUGAUACUUUAUUCAGCCAUGUGAUUCUUUAAUUACGUCCAACUUGGCAUCAAGGAGAUAUUACCACUUCCCCCCUUGUUACUACCAUUUCCUAACCAGAUGGGUCAGACCUGAGUGUUCAUCUAAAGUUCAGAGAAUAGUAGUGUUUUUACAAACUGGCAGGAAGGUCGUGAAAGGGCCUCUAGCCUAGUGGUUUGAGCACCAUUUGGGAGCGAAUUAAACAUGUCUGAAAUAAAAAUAUUAUAUAACUUGCUAGAAGUGUUCUGUUCACAUAUAGAUGCCAUGCAUUUUUUAUGUACAUUAAAUUUGAUGUGAUAUUAGUCAGAACUAGUGUAUGAUUUAUAAGAGCUUCUCAACUGUAGUUUUCUAGUUCGAUGUGCUUCAGUUUUCUGGAACUAAACUACUGGACAUGAUUCUGCAUGCUGAAAGCAGUUAGAACUAUUUUUUACUUGUAGACUUUGUAUUUUUGUUGGUGAUAGCUGUUUAGUUCUGUUCUUAUUUGUCUCCAUUGGUAAUCUGAGUACACAGCUGUGUAACUGUGAGUUCUUAUUUGUUAGCAAAAUGUGUUGGUUUCCUGUGGCUUAUCAAUGCUUUUUGUCUGUUAUGAAUGUUUGAUGACUUCGCACUGAUGUUCUCCAAUAUGUAAAUUGAAAUAUACAUAUUUUAAGCUAUGGAGCUUGCAUAGGCCUUGAUGGUCUACCUCCUACCUAGAUUAAUCUUUGUUGGAGAGGGGUGGGGUUUUUUCUUCUUUCUUUUUGUGUUGAUUGUUUUCUAAAUGCAUUACUGUAUAUAUGUACUACUUAUCCACUAGACAGGUCCAAUUUUGAAAUAUAUGCAGUACAGCUGGAGCUCAUCUGAUUGUUUUUUUCUAUAGUUACGCAUUUUAUCAUUUUAACUUAGGCAAAGUUAUUGUUUUAGAUAGGCAAAGUACUGUUCUUAACUAAGCAAAUAUGAUUUUAUUCAAUUAAGCAAAUUACUGUUGUCUCUAGUUUGGCAUUUCACCUGUUUAAGUUAGGCACAUUUAUUCUUUCAGCUAGGCAAAAGUACUAUACUAACUAGGCAGAUCUUAUUUUUUAAUUAAGCAAAACAUUGCCUUGUCUAGUUAGACAUUUUUACUUGUUCCAGUUAGGUAGAAUUUUUCUGCACUUGGGAAUUCUUCUUCUUAUGCUUUGGUAGUUUUCAUUUCAUUGCCAUGUUCCGUCCUGACAUGGAAAUGUUCUUCCCUGUUGUCAACCUAGCACACAGGAAAUCAUCAAGUGUUCUUCCCUGUUCAGUCCUAACAUGGCAACAUAAGCCGGAGAUAUCAUUCAGUUGCUGGAAUGGGAAGCCACUGCCUAUGUACGAACAACCACCACUACAUCAUCUCAGACAAGGUGAGUGCACUUUGCAAUCUGGUUUCGACUCCUUGGCUUCCGCCAUAUUCAUUGCCUAAUACUAUACUGAACCUCUGCCAUCCAUUGCACUGCAUCAGAAUAGAUAGCCUGUGUGGAGUGUGUGGAGUGUGUUGCACAUGUACGAUGAUGCCAAGUAAAAGCAAUUAAUAUGAGCUACUGUAAGUUCUGACAACUAGGAGUGUGUUGCUACUCCAAUUAACUUCAUGAUAGUGCAAUAUAGAGUAUACUGCCUGAUGCUAUGUGCAUGAAAUUUAAUGGUGUUAGAAAAUGCAACCUUUUCCUGCAGGAGCAAAAGGUGGCAUUGACCAUCAAACUUAAGCUGCAGCCAAGGCUGGUGGAGGGCUAGGUACGUAUAACUCAUUUAAACAUCUCUUCCUUAUACUUAAAAUGCUUUUGCUAGUUCACUUAUGUUUCAAAUGCUUCAGAUGCACGUUAGGUUUCAAAAGCUUGUUUAGAAACACAUAAUCUGUAUUGUAGUCUUGGUCAGAUAAAUAUGCACUUUGCUUUAGAUUGGUGUGCCUUCACUUAUGUAGUUAUUUACUUUUCACAUGUCAUAGAAUCUGUUUUUGUAUUUUUUGUUGCAACUCAUUAUAUAUCUUGUAACACACACAGACUAUGUGCUUCUACAAAGGGGCAUUUUGUAUAAUCUGUACAAUGCUGUCACAAGGGGUUGUUUUGGUUUUACUCAUAACCGGUAUGCAUAUGGGGUGGUCCAGUUUAGAAUCUAAGCAAUUUACUAAGCAAUUUAGCGUAUACAUGCCAAGAAUUUUAUAUGAAAUUGGAAGCAAUUUCAUAUGAGCCACUAUGCAAUUGUGCUUAUGAGCCACUAUGUAGUAUUUGGCUAUCCUGUUAGUACCUCUACGUCUGUUAGUUCUGAAUAAUCGAAGUUAGAGAUAUUAGCAAUUCUACAAUGAAGCAUUGUAGGUUGUGCAACAUACAUGCUGUCACACUGUAGUCUUUUUUUUUUUCAUUACAUUGCAGGUCAUGUGCAUGGAAGCAAAUAUCAAGUACCAAACAGAGAAGCAAAUGUGUUUGCUGUUGUCCUAGUAGUACAUAUUGCAAAUACGAGUGUAUUAGUUACGGACAACGCAUUUUUUCCUGUGCUUCUGGUGUGUACAUUUUUCCUGAUUGUGUAGUUAUGAAAAUGAAUGCUAGUGUGAUGCAGGCAAUAACAUGGUAGGAUCAUUUCUGAGAUGAAACGUGCAGGCAUCAAUAUUUUUUUUGUCGUAUCCAUUACGGGGAGCUGGCAAGUGGCAGCGCUGAGGGAGGUUGGGGGAGUGCAUGCACCGAGGACAGCUUUUACCCGAAUAGGAAUGCUUGGGGACUGCUCUUUUAAUUAUUGCCUAAAAGGGUCAGGCCGUACUAGCGGCCUAAUUUACGGCGCUUCCAAUAUAAAAUAGAUUUUAAAUACUGGAAGUUUAUAAGGAAAAAAACUAUCGGAGGAAUCUUGGCGGAUUUGGAUUCGUUGCUGACAAGUUGGAUUGGCUAGUUUUGGAGGUAGAUUGGUUGCUAUGAUUAUUUAUGUGCGGAUUUUAUUUGGACUUCGCCCACUAUCCGGUUUACAAGGAUAUGACUUAAAUGGACAUUAUUUUCUUUAUAAAAAUAUGAAUUUGUUUAUUUUACUAUUCAUGGGGAUGUUGUAAAUGUGUACAUACUUCAACGGAUUGUUAUUCAGGACAAGGAAGAUAUAUUGAAAAUGUGACAUUAUUGAUUUUUUAUGGUUUUCUAGUUAUAGCUUGAUUACUUUUUUAUGAAACUAAAUAAUGUAUGUAGCUAUACAUAGCAUUUGAAUACAAACCGGAAAUUUAAAUUUUUAUGUUUCCAAACUAACUAUUUUGAAAAGUGUUGACGGCCAAAGUGCGUCUAGAUCCACUACCAGAAAUCUUUUGACCGAUAAAAAUUUGAUGAUGAAUGUCAAAACGUCAUAAAUUUAUGAUUUUUUUUGCUGAGAACAUCAUCAGUUCUCAUCAAAUAUUUGCAUCCGACCAAAUUUAGUGAUGAAGUUAUCAGACGUCAAAAAAGUUGCCAUCGAAACCAAAUAGAAAACACCACUUAUUGUUACACGGUGGUUUUGUGAUGAUUUCAAGGUUUGCAAAAAUACCAUAAACUGAUUAGGAUCCCACAUGUAAGGUUAAGUUGAAAAAUAGGAUGGAAAAAUAAGGUGAAAGGGUGCUCAUCCCGGUGUCGAACCUGUUAUCCAUCAAUUGGGAACUGUUGAGCCAAUAGCUAUGCUGGAGCCGUUUGUCAGUUUGUAUCCUUAAAAAAAUUUAUUAUAGUAGUAGAUGAGCCGUGCAUACUCACAUCUAAGUAUAUCAUGAGUUGCUGCAAUAUAUUUUGAUACUUGAUGUGGGAAAAGCCCGCCUAGAGAAAAUCGGCAUGCUUGGGAUGAGAAAAGCUCCCGCUCCCUGGGCAAAUUGGCACGCAUAUCUGCGGCUCAGUAGUGUAGUGGCUCGGUGGAAAUGGCACAUGGAGUUAGAAUGGAAAAGGAAACAAACUCCAAUCAGGUGAGCUUCUAGUUCCAAUUGUUGUGGCCUCUUGUCCCCAUUGUCCUUGACUACGGGUUAUCCUACUGUAGAUCUGGGUUGAAGAAACUACAUUUCAAUUUUAUGAUGCUGUUAGGUUUUAAUUUGGAUUGGUGGUAUGAAUUGAUAGGUUCUACGGUCGCUUGGAGUCAUUGAUAGCUUCAGAACGGGGUCGCCUGCCCAUGCCAUUACCUUUAUGCAUCCUAAAUAUGAGUGAUUGUUGAUUCAAAAUUAAUUGUCGAUCCUUGCAAAGAUUGGCCAUGUAUAGAUGUCAUUGACAAAGAUCCAAAUCGGUUGUCUAAGCCCGAAGUGUGGAUCCAAAGUUUUCCAAUAACAACGUAGAAACCACUUCUAGUAUGCCUAUACUCGACAGGCGGUGCAACAAGUUCAAACUGGAGAUGUUAAAGCUGAAAAAAACUUGAAAUUGGUGUUUGGAAAACUAUUGAAUCCAAAGGCCAUAGCAAGCAUAAAAAGAAAAAGCUGAAGCCAAAUGAGAAGCUUUCGGCUAGUUCCAAAGACAAAAGAAUGUCAAUAUGCUAGUUGGCCUAAAAAUUCCAAGCACUCAAAAUCUUAUCCAAGGCAAAAUUUCCAUGGUCAGAAUCAACAAUGGAAUAAUUUUCCUACAUCAAUGUUGUUUCCUUCACAUGGAUCACCUACACCAAUGCCGUGGGGUUCAUAUUGUAGCAUAUCUUAUUCUUAUCCAUCAUGGUAUUAUAAUUCAUGUAUGCCACCUUUUCCUAGAUAUUUGUGCCCAAAUUAUAUUACCUACAGGGAGCCGGCAAUUAAUGAGCCACCACAAAUAGAUAAUGACAAUUUUGACAAGGAAUCAGUCUACGUACCGAAAUAAAUGUAAGGUGAUUAAACAAGUCUAUAGUGUCAAGAAAGAUGGUAGAUUGAAAAAAACUUAGAUUUGAUACUAGACACAAAAAGCUGACUAUUGAAGAAAAAUUGGCCAGUUCUAUUGAUCCAAUUGUCCCCAAUAAUGAGCAUGAUUUGAAUAAUAUAGCUGAACAGAAACAAAGUUCGGUUGGGGGCAAGAUGAUAUCAAAGUGUCUAGUUUUACCAAAACUAGUCCAACCAGUGUUGAAACCUAUCCAACCGGUUUUGAUAGGAAUUAUAGAAAAAACUGAUUUUACGAAAAACCAGUCCAACAGGUGUUGAAACCGGUCCAACCGGUGUUGCUACGAAUUAUAGAAAAACUGAAAAUUUCAGAUCAAACAACAUGGUGAUAAGGAAGAAGCUAAGAUUUGAUGAUCUGUUACAUAAUAUCAGAAAAUAGCCUCCCAAAAUCAAAACAAUCAGUUUGAGAGCAAUCAAAGGAGGAAUUUUUCGUCAUCAAGAGCAAAGAAGCAUCAACGGUCAUCUUAUUGGUCUUCAUAAUUUUCUCCAUCGAUGCUUGUACCAUAGAGUGCAUAUCUAAGUAUAAGUAAUUAUAAUCCAUAUUUUUGGUACAAUCCUUGAUUCUCAUUUUAUGAUUAUCAAUAUUAUGCUUAUACUUUACCAAGGAGCUAUAAAUUAUAUGAUCGGCUACCAUGGCCGCAUCAAAAUUUCUAUUAUUAAGUAUGCUUAGAUGUUUCAAAGCUGAAAGUAACUGUUUCAUAAAUAUUCAUAUGAUGUUGUACUCGUUAGAAUAUUAUUUUGGCUACAUUAGUAUCCAUAUAAGGUGUAAAAAUCAUCAUGUGUGUGAUGUAUUGUUCAUCAUCGUUCUUAGAUAAUUUUGAUCAUUAAGAAUGUUUUGUGAUGUGCAAGCUUUACCAAAAAAUAGGGAGCCAUGCGUGGAUGAUCAAAAUUGAAAGAUUUGGGCUAACCGAUCUCUAAACCGGUUAGACCAGUUUGAUUGAAAAUGCUCAAAUUGUAAAUAGGAUUUCACCAUUGUGUAUCUCUCAUCGAAACCAUCAAAAUGCAUAUGUAGAACAUCCGAUUUGGAGUUCGGAUAAGAGAGUUAUACUCUCGGGAAGAUCUGCAUGCGAGGAAAGACGUCAGACCGGUUUGCAAACAAGUCAGCCCGGUUUGGUCUGUGUAGUCUAAGUUAGGAGUUAUAUUUUAACAUGAGAUUUGUAAGGAUUUUCAACUCCUAACGGGGCAAGACCGCCCAUCCUUAUAAAUAUAAAGGGCUACGGCCAAUUGAGGCCAUCCCAAUCGAUAAAAAACUAAUUUAUUACUUUUUAUCCUUUACUUUUCCACUUUCCCCUACUUUUCCAACCCAUGCGCUGUUCUUCUCUUGUCUCAAUGGUAUGAUAAGACGUCCUACCUGGCGUGCUGAGCCUAGGGCAACUCAAGGUGUACCUGGUGCGACGGGCCCUCCCGGGCGUGCGUUCGUUGGCCCUUCAUCGAGCUCCCCAAUGAAAUCGGUCUAACCGGCUUGUCAAAUCUGACUGACUGGUUUGGCAUAGAGGUACUGCAAGGAGCUCCUCUGAGCGUUGCACGAGUAUUUGGCGCAGCACAUUUUCAUAUUAACAGUGACUUUCCUGUGAGUAUUUCAAUGGAUUGACAUGGGAAGUGUAACUAUAGAUUUGUUAACCGAGGCUUUGGACUUGGCCUUGCCGAUGAAUUCGACAAGAAAAAUAGCAAUGUAACACAAGAGGGAAGAUCAGCUAUGACAUUGCCAUCGUAUAUGACCUGAAAGACUAUCUUGAUGGCUUAUGGAAAAUUUUUAUUUACCAAAAAAUUAUACUGAACAAAAGAAUUUCUUUCACGACAUCACCCCGCAAACAUGAGAAGGCCCGGAGACAUGGCCUACGGCUACCAUUGCAUGAUUAAAACUCUCUGAUAGAAAUUCACCUUAUUACAAGACAAAUAAAAUUGGAUUUCUUUAAAUAGAAAAACUAUAUUUCUAUAUAAGGUAUUCUCUUUUCACGGCUUCAUGUUUCACGUCACAAAAUAUAACGAUAAAAAUGACGAUGAUGUGGUCAAGACCAUUCGGAAAAAGAAAAUGAACUGUUUGAAUUUUUUUAAAGUAAAAAAGGAGUCUAAAUGUUAGCAUGAAAAAAUCUAGCUACCCGCACAAAUAAUAAAAUCCAAGCUUAGUGAGAUGCUUUGGGUUGAGCAGGGGGUAUCUUAUUGGAAUAAAUAUCUUUAUUAAAUAUAACAUGCCAAUAGUUUGUGGUCUUUAUAUUAUUACAGAAUUACAGAAUGCUUAAACAGCCAAGAAGUUCCACUUGAUCUUUACAUCAAGCCUUAUUCGAAAAGAAAACAUGAACGAAAGCCAAGGUGUGAAUCAUAAAGAAACACAUCCACAUGCUGGUGCCUUUACAGCACUCUGCAGCGAGCGAAGCAGAGCACCCUAGCCAGUGUUCUGCAUGCCGGCGGCGAUGCCCUUCAUGGUGAGGAUGAGCGUGUCCUCCAGCCCCGGCCCGUACUCGCUCGCCGGGUUGAGCUUCACAAUCCCGCGCGGCUGGUUCUCGUCGGCGAACUCCUUGGACAGCGGCGGCUGCGGCGUCACCUUGAAGUUCGGGUCCCUUAUCCUCUUCAGGGUGUAGGCCUGCCACACGUUAAGAAUGGUGAUGUAGGGGUCGCGCAGCCGCAGCUGCUGCUUCAGGCCGGGAUCGCUUUCAAGGAUUUCCUUGUGCCCAGCAACCUGCACAAAGAUGGUGAGUAGUCAGGAUUUCCUUGUGCCCAGCAAUCUGCACAAAGAUGAAAUUCAUUCAUAUGAGUUUUAAUUUAUUACCUGCAGGAUAAGCUUCUCUGUUUCCACGUAGUUGUUCCUGAGCUGCUCCCCGAAUGGCUUGAGUUCGUCGGCGACGAGCAGCUGGUCGUAGAGGCCGGCGAUGGUGGGGUCUCCCUUGGCUAAGACCAUCUCGAGCAGGUCCAGGGUGACCCUGAAGAAUGGCCACUCGUUGUACAUCUCCUUGAGCAUCUGGAAGUUCUUGAUAUCCUUCUUCAUGGCGUGCUUGAACGCGGCGCCGAACCCGAGCCACACCGGGAGGUGGAACCUCGUCUGCGUCCACGAGAAGAUCCACGGGAUCGCGCGGAGCGACUCGAUGCCGCCCUUCGGCUUCCUCUUCGCCGGUCGGCUGCCGAUGUUCAACCUGCCGUACUCCGUCUCCGGGGUAGCCGACCGGAAGUACUCCACGAACCGGGGCUCCCUCAUGACGACGGAGCGGUACUCAUCGGUGGCGACGGCGGCGAUCUCGUCCAUGAGCGCGCGCCACUCGGGCUUGGGGGAGACCGGCGGGUGCAUGCCGUGCUCGAGCGUGGCGGCGGUGAAGCGCUGCAGCGUCCGGAAGCAGAGGUGCUCUUCGCCGAAGGAGGUUUCGAUGACCUCGCCCUGCACCGUCACACGGAGGGACCCGUUGAUGGUGUCCGGCGGCUGGGACAGGAUGGCGAGGUGAGUCGGCCCGCCGCCCCUGCCGACGGUGCCGCCGCGGCCGUGGAACAUGGUCAGCUUCACGCCGUAGCGCUUCGCCACCUUCGCCAUCUCCUCCUGCGCCUUGUACAGGUGCCACGCCGCCGACAGCCGGCCGGCGUCCUUGCCGGAGUCCGAGUAGCCGACCAUCACCUGCUGCUUGCCGCCGAUCCGGUUCAUGUACCAGUCCAGGGAGAAGAGCCGCUCUAUGGACGCCGGCGCCGACUGCAAGUCGGCGAGCUUCUCGAACAGCGGGACCACGGGCAGCGGCUGCUUCACGUGGCACUCACGCUGCAGGAGCUCGACGGCGAGCACGUCGGAGGGCGCCGUCGCCAUGGAGAUGAUGUACGGGCCGAAGCUGUCGCGGGGCAGCUCGGCGAGGACGUGGAAACAUCCGAGCACGUCGGCGAUCUCCUCGGUCUGGGGCAUGUCCUUGCUCAGCAGUGGCCGCUUGCCGCGGAGCUCGGAGAGCAGCCACUCCUGGCGCUUCUCCUCGGACCACUCGCGGUAGGACCCGAUGCCGAGGUGCGUGGUGAUCGCGUCGAUCACGUCUGUGUGACGCUCCGACUCCUGACGGAUGUCCAGCUUCACCAUGGAGAGCCCGAACGUCGAGACCUGCCGCAUGAAGUCGAGCAGGCUCCCGUCGGCGAUGGUCUUGUCACCACAGUCACACAGGGAUUUGUAGCACAGCUCAAGGGGCUCCAGGAACUGACCAAAUUUGAAGGGUUCCACAGUGACAUUAGUUAAACUAUAUUAUGAUAAGGAGCAUGACAUUAACAAAUAACAAUGUUUAUGGAACCCUCAAAAUAACAAGAGGAGCAUGAUGCCGGAUUACCUCUUCAACAUUCUUAAAGGCCGAGUCCUCCGGAAUGUCAGAAAAUCCACUAGUUAGCAGAUGGCGCGAGCGUUCGCGUGUGCUGUACAAUUUGUCCCUCACAUAACCAAGCACCACGCGAUACGGUUCACUUGCAGGAAGUUGCCUCCAGAAUUCUGCACCAACGAAUUCUCUUCAGAAAAUUGGCAAACUGACAAGGCUGAUUCGUGUUAACAUCAUAGAGACUCCUCUUAAAGCCUCCACAUGAAGGCACCUAGGAUUCUAGGUGGGCACUUCAAAAAAAAGAAAAAUACUAGAAAUUUUCAAAAAAGCAAAACAUCUAGCCAUCUAUUCAGUAGACUUAAAUCAUCCAAUUCAUUGAACUAUUAUGUUCCUGCCAUUAUGAAAAUAGUUUAAAGUAACCCCCUAAGUAUAUAUCUAAAUUACCCACGUAUGCCAUUACAUAAAAUAAAUUAAAGUACACCUAAUCUUCGUCUAAAUUACCCACUUAUACCAUUAUUAAGAAUAGUUUAAAAUAACCCACUAAAUUUGUUUCAAAUUUCCCACCACUAACAUUAUAAAAAAAAAUAACUUAAAGUAAAUCCUUAAGUUUACAUCUAAAUUACUCACAUAUUCCAUGUUUAAAAAUAUAUCCCAAGAUACACCAAUAUAUUAUUCUAAUCAUUAAGGUAUAUACGCAUGAUGUGUGUCACCAUUUAUAAAUAUAUAGAGGAAGUGAUAAGAAUACAUAUUUUCAUGUUAAAAAUAUAUCUCAAACUUAGGUUCCAUUAAACAAAUUUAAGAAUGUAUAUACGGUGCAAGUGAAACAAGAUAUUAUAAAUAUAGAUGAAAAUGUUAUAGAGUAAUUACUACUAAAAUCUUUUAUAAUCCGAUGAAGAUAAUAAAUAUUAGAAUAUUAAAAAAUGAGAGUGAGGUCAAGGUAACAGUUUUGAGUGUUUAGCUAUGUGCCUUAUUUUUUUUAAUUGAAGAAUCUGCAUUAAUCCCCAUGAGACGCAAUAGGAAAAAGAUAAAUCCAACAAAUUAUCACAAAAAUUGAAACAUCCACGUAUCAAUCUGGUAGACAAUCUAUCAUUAUGAAAAAUAUUCUAAAGUAAACCCCUUAGUCUAUAUCUAAAUUACCCACAUCUACCAUUAUAAAAAUAAUCUAAGGUAACUCCAUAAUCUUUAUCUAAAUUACCCUUGCAUAUCAUCAUAAAAAAUAAAUUAAAAUACUCUUCUAAAUUUGUAUCUAAGUUACCAGCCUAUGUUGUUAUUAAUAACAACCUAAAGUAAUUAUCUGUGUGGUCAUUAUACAAAAUGUCCAAAAGUAACCCAAUAUAUGAUACUAGACAUUUCUAUCAUUGUUAAUAUAGAAAUACAAAGUUAAUGUAUAUAUGCAUGAUGGGUGUUACCAUGUAGAACAUUUAUACAUGUAUGAGAGAAAGUGAUGAAAACUACAUGAUUUUCAGGUUAAGUACAAUAUAUGGAGUGAGAUGCAAAGUGAAAAAACGUACGAAUAUGAAUGAAAAAGUAUAUAGAGUAAUUACUAAUUAAAAGUUAAUCACAACCCAACAAAGACAAAUGCACAUCUAUAUGAGUAUUGGUGUUAGAAUAUUAAAUAAACGAGAGGGUCAUAGGUAAAAAGUUUGAUUACUUACUAGGGUGUCUAAUUUUUAAAUUACUUCAUAAUACAAUGGCUUCUAAAAUUAUUAAUCCAUGCAAGAGCACGGAUUGAUGGUCCAGUUAUUCAAAUUUGAAUAGACUAGUGGAGACUUUGCAAAAGCUUGUAUGGAAAACUAUUCUAUGAUUAGGUGAUACAAACAAACAUAUCGAUUAAAUAUGUAUAUAUCUUCAAAAAGGACUGCAAAUUGAGGCUAAAAUUAGUUUGUUUGAGUUACCAAUAUAAUGCUUGGAAAUUUUCUGUGAAGCAGCGUGAAGUUCUUCCGCUCGAGCACGGAGUUCGUCGUUGCAGCGCCACAUAGAGAGCUACAGAUAUAUCAGAUGAGACUAGCAACAAUAGGUAAUACUAGAUGAGCAUUAGGAAGCAUGAAUCAAACACAUUUCUACAAUACCUCGAACAUCAAUUCUUCUAUCUGAGAGAAGUACAAGUUUGACGCCAUCAUUCUUGCAAGCAAGCAUACAUCCCUUGUCACCUCUGGCGUAACUCUUGGAUUUCCUACAGAAACCAAACGUAUGGAGACUUGAAGGGGAAAACAAAUGCUAGGAACACUAAAAAUAGUCAUCACUCAUCACUAAUUACUUAGACGCAAUCCGAAUACUUUUUUCUAGAGAAAACUAGAGUAUCACAUCAAGGAAAUUAAAAAGAAUUAAUUGAUAAUCCACUGCCACAAAAAUGUGUUCCGGAAUCAGAAGAUCAUUCGCAUCUGCAAAGGAGGAUUUACCAUCGCGGUCGCCACCCAUCCAAGAAGAGAACUGAAUGAGAGGAGCAUUGUAGGGGAGACGCUCAUCAAUCCCGAUGUUCUUUAGAGCUGUAUCCACACGUCGCAAAAACUUUGGGACACCCUUCCAUAUAGUUUCAUGAAAAUAGCUCAUCCCGUAACGCAUUUCAUCCUGUGGGGUUGGUUGUGCUCUCCGAAUUUCGUCUGUUCUAAAACAUGCUUGGAUCUGCGAAGAGCAAACACCAGGCAUUAGAACGAAUUGAAAUUCCCGAAGCAUUAAAAAACAAGAUCUUCACCCUGCCCUAGUUCAAGUGGACUGGAUCAUGGUGAAAUAAAAUAUGUGAAAGGUAACACUAGUAAUUUAGCAGAUUUCCAGUAAAAGAAUUCAAAAAUCUCUAUUGAAGUACUCAUAUAAUGAAAACCGUAUGGCACAGUGGAAAGAAGACAAUGUAAUAACACGACAGAACCAUAGCCGUAGGAUAAAAUUUUUACUGUUUUUAAAUGGCAGGGUAGUAAUAAUUGUGUAAACAAAAAAAUAGUACUAUUGUGUGUUUCUUAUUUGGACUUGAAGGAAUCAAUAAAAAAAUUGUCAGAAACUUUGAAGAUAUUUUAUACCAAUUGCAGUGAGCUAGUUCCUUUGAGCAAGCACGAGUUCACUUUAAUCUUACUACCAACCUUUGGUACCAAUACUUUUCACCAGCUAAUAGAACGAUUUGAUAUUUGAACAAUCUUACUAUAUAAAUUGGAAGCUCCUUUCAAAGUCGCAAGGUGAAGCCACCUAGGAUACUCUAAAAAAGAGAGAAAUUCUAGAAAUUCUUACAAAAUUAGAUGUUUCUAGCCAUCAAUAUGGUAGACUCUAAUCACAAUUGAUGAUAAUAGCCAUUGGAUCUAUUACAUUUAAAAAAAAACCCACCCAUGCUAUUAUGAAAAGAGUUUAUAACCCUCUAAAUCUACAUAUAAAUUCCUCCAAAUGAGCCAUAUCAUGUGAUGCUUGGUUAUGUAAGAUAAAUUAAUUCCUCCAAAUGAGCCAUAUCAUGUGAUGCUUGGUUAUGUAAGAUAAAUUGUACUACUCAUGCAAACGUUCGCGCCAUCUGCUGACUACUUGAUUUUCUGACAUUCCGGAGGACUCGGCCUUUAGCAAUGUUGCAGAGGUAAUUCGACAUCAUGCUCCUUUGUGAUUUAAGUGUUCCAUAAAUAAAUUUUCUUUGGAAGCUUCUCAUCAUAGUAUGAUCAUCUUACCAUUACUAAUUGAAAGCUCCUUUUGAGGCCUUCACAUGAAGCCACCUAGGAUCCUAGGUGGACACUCUAGAAAAAUACAGAAAUCCUAGAAAUUCUAUCAAAAAAGAAAAACAUCUAGCCAUCAAUUAGGUAGACUGAAAUUAUCAUAGACAUUAAAUCUAUUAUAUUUUCUAAAAAAUUACCCACCCUAACAUUAUAAAAAUGUCUAAAGAAACCCCCUAAAUCUAUAUCUAAAUUACUCACCACUACCAUUUUAUAAAAUAAACUAAAUUACCCCUAAUCUUCAUCUAAAUUAUCCACUUAUGCUAUUAUAAUUUUUUAAAAUAUUUCCAUAAAUUUGUAUUUAAAUUGCCCACCACUAACAAUAUAAAUUAAAAUUAAAAUUAAAGUAACCCCUUAAAUUCACAUCUAUAUUACCCACAUAUCCCAUUAUCGAAAAUAAUAUGAGGUAAACCUAAAUCUAAAUUCAAAUUAUAUCCAUUAAAAUAUAUCCUCAUGGUACACCAAUAUAUGAUUCUAAAUUAUCUAUUUCUUACAUUGUUUAUAUAGAAAAUAAUAAUUAAGCUAUAUACGCACAUGAUGUGUAUCGCUGUUUAUAAAUAUAUACAGGAUGUGUGUCGCCAUUUAAAAUAUAUUUCCAUGUUAAAAAUGUAGAUCAAACUUAGGGUCUAUUAAACAAAUUCAAGCAUAUACCUACAAUGCAAAGUGAAAAAUAAAGAUUAUAAUGUGGAUGAAAGCUUUAUAGAGUAAUCAUUAACUAAAGUCUACCAUAAUCGGAUGAACAUAAUAAGUACAUACCUAUAUAAGUAUUGUAUUAGAAUAUUUAAUAAACUGGAAAGUGCUUAAGGUAACAAUUUUGAUUGUUAGCUAGGUACCCUUAUUCUUUAAUUGGAGACUUCGUAUCAAUUCUCAUGACACGCACUAGCAAAAAAAGAUAAAUCCUACAAAUUCUCACAUAAAAGUGAAACAUUUAGGCAUUAAUCGUGUAGACUCUAAUAAUCAUAGUCAUUGGUCUAUUAUAUUUUCUAAAAAAUUAUCCAACACUAUGAUUAUGAAAAUAUUGUACAAAUUCUCCCUAAACCUAUAUCUAAAUUAUCCAUCUCUACCAUUAUAAAAAAAUAAUCCAAUGUAAUCCCAUAAUCUUCGUCGAAUUAUCCAUUCAUGUUAUUGUGAGAAAUAACUUAAAUAUCUUCUAAAUUUGUAUUUAAAUUAACACAUACGUGGUUAUUAAAAAUAACCUAAAGUAAGUACCUAAAUCUACAGAAAUAUCCAAAAUAAAAAAAUAUGAUUCUAAAUUACCUAUUCUACCAUUAUUAAUAUAGAAAUACUAAGUUAAGGUAUAUAUGCAUGAUGGGUGUCACCACAUGUAGGCGAUUUAUAAUCGUAUCAAUGUAUGGGAGGAAGAGAUGAAAAAUAUUGAUUUUCAUGUUAAACACAAUGUAUGGAAGUGCGAUGCAAAGUGAAAAGAUAUGAAUGUGGAUGAAAAAGUGUAUAGAUUAAUUAACUGGACAAAGAUAAGGACACAUCUAUAUGAAAUUUGUGUUAGAAUAUUAAAUAAAUGAGAGUGUCCUAGCUAAAUAAUUUUGAUUAUUAGAUAGAGGGUCUAGUUUUUAAAUAGUUUUCUAAUACAAUGGCUCUUAAAAAUGUUGACGUACGAAGAAUUUUUGGGCCCACUAACUUACACGUGUCAUGCUGAACGUCAUGGGCUCACAAGUCCACAUAUUGUGUUCUAUACUAUCUUUAUCAGAAGAAGAAUUUAACGACAAAAAGAGAUGGGCAGUCCCUCUUCAGCCUCACAUGCAUGGGAGAAAUGUCAGAAUGGCCUGUCUGGCACCCUGGCAUGGCACUUGUAUGAUGCAACCGAGCAAGAACAAGAGUGAAAAGGAGGGCCUUAAUGGUGAUAACAACACUGCCGUAAUAUCGAUUGCAAUAACAUGAUCGUUUUCUUGGAAUUCAUUAGGUAAACAAAGUCAGAGCCUCAAAUUUGCAGGAAUUAUCUUGAUUCACUAUGCAAAAGUUUUGAUGUUCACUAGUGUUGAAAUGUAAGUACCUCCCUCUGCAGAGCCUCGUCGAGCUCCUGCUUAUCGUCCUCCGUGAUGUCCUUGGCAUACAGCUGCGUGAGGCAGUUCCGGAUCCUGCGUGCAAGGACAAGACGAACAUUUCCGUUCCGUAAUAAUGAAGAAAUGGAUUGGAAUUGUUCACGGAUUUGGAUGCAGAAUAAUGACCCGUGUACCUGGCGUGCUUCUGGAGGAGCGACCUUCGGACGGACUGCGUGGGGUGGGCGGUGAAGACGAGGUCGACGGUCUGGUUCUUGAGCGCGUCGAAGACCUCCUCCUUGGACUUUCCGAGCUCUGUGACGAGGCGCUUGAGCGUCUCCUCGAUGUCAGACUCGGUGGCAGCGAAGCCCUCGUCGGCGAAGUCCCCGCGCUUGAGCUUGUUCCGGCGGAGGUGGGCGAGCUGCACCUCCUCCGCGAGGUUUGUUAGGUUGAGCAUGUUCGAGAAGGAGCUCGCCACGACGAUGGCGUCAUUGGGGGACAGCUUGGUGAGCCUGGACCCGAGCUCGCUCAGCUUCGCGGCGUCGCGGUCGCGCUCGU
rnacentral:lncRNA from 1 species